GUUUUUUUUUUUGCCUGUUUUAGGGUUUCGAAGAAAAGGAAUAUCAAACGGAGUCCAAACGAAAUGAAACCUUCGAGAAUGUGAUUUUCUGAAUGAACAAGAUCCAGGAGACUUGGACCCUACAUCAAGACACAAAAGAGGAGGCCACGAGGUAGGGGGCGCGCCUACCCCCCAGGCGCGCCCUCCACCCUCGUGGGCCCCCUGUUGCUCCACCGACGUACUCCUUCCUCCUAUAUAUACCUAUGUACCCCCAAACGAUCAGAUACGGAGCCAAAACCCUAAUUCCACCGCCGCAACUUUCUAUAUCCAUGAGAUCCCAUCUUGGGGAUUGUUUUGGAGCUCCGCCGGAGGGGGUAUCCAUCAUGGAGGGCUUCUACAUCAACACCAUAGCCCCUCCGAUGAAGUGUGAGUAGUUUACCUCAGACCUACGGGUCCAUAGUUAGUAGCUAGAUGGCUUCUUCUCUCUUUUUGAAUCUCAAUACAAUGUUCUCCCCCUCUCUUGUGGAGAUCUAUUCGAUGUAAUCUUCUUUUUGCGGUGUGUUUGUUGAGAUCGAUGAAUUGUGGGUUUAUGAUCAAGUCUAUCUAUGAACAAUAUUUGAAUCUUCUCUAAAUUCUUUUAUGUAUGAUUGGUUAUCUUUGCAAGUCUCUUCGAAUUAUCAGUUUGGUUUGGCCUACUAGAUUGAUCUUUCUUGCAAUGGGAGAAGUGCUUAGCUUUGGGUUCAAUCUUGCGGUGUCCUUUCCCAGUGACAGUAGGUGCAGCAAGGCACGUAUUGUAUUGUUGCCAUCGAGGAUAACAAGAUGGGGUUUUCAUCAUAUUGCAUGAGUGUAUCCCUCUACAUCAUGUCAUCUUGCUUAAGGCGUUACUCUGUUUUCAUUAACUUAAUACUCUAGAUGCAUGCUGGAUAGCGGUCGACGAGUGGAGUAAUAGUAGUAGAUGCAGGCAGGAGUCAUUCUACUUGUCUUGGACGUGAUGCAUGUUGCUAACUCUUGAGCAGUGCGUUGGUUUUCCCCGAAGAGGAAGGGAUGAUGCAGCAAAGUAGCGUAAGUAUUUCCCUCGGUUUUUGAGAGCCAAGGCAUCAAUCCACUAGGAGGCUAUGCGUGAGUCUCUCGUACCUGCACAAAACAAAUAAAUCCUUGCAACCAAUGCAAAUAGGGGUUGUCAAUCCCUAUGAGGCCACUUACGAGAGUGAGAUCUGAUAGAUAUGAUAAAGAUAAUAUUUUUGGUAUUUUUAUGAUAAAGAUGCAAAGUAAAAUAAAGGCAAAGUAAAUAGCAAAGUAGUACGAGAACAAUAUGAUAAAGAUAGACCCGGGGGGCAUAGGUUUCACUAGUGGCUUCUCCCAUGCAUCUAGAGCAAUUGACAGAAUAACGCCCGGGGGGUGAACAAAUUACUGUUGAGCAAUUGACAGAAUUGAGCAUAGUUAUGAGAAUAUCUAGGCAUGAUCAUGUAUAUAGGCAUCACGUCCGAGACAAGUAGACUGACUCCUGCCUGGAUCUACUACUAUUACUCCACUCAUUGACCGCUAUCCAGCAUGCAUCUAGAGUAUUAAGUUAAAAACAGAGUAACGCCUUAAGCAAGAUGACAUGAUGUAUUGGGAUAGACUCAUGCAAUAUGAAGAAAACCCCAUCUUGUUAUCCUCGAUGGCAACAAUACAAUACGUGCCUUGCUGCCCUUACUGUCACCGGGAAAGGACACCGCAAGAUUGAACCCAAAGCUAAGCACUUCUCCCAUUGCAAGAAAGACCAAUCUAGUAGGCCAAACCAAACUGAUAAUUCAAAGAGACUUGCAAAGAUAACCAAUCAUACAUAAAAGAAUUCGGAGAAGAUUCAAAUAUUGUUCAUAGAUAGUCUUGAUCAUAAACCCACAAUUCAUCGUUCUCAACAAACACACCGCAAAUAGAAGAUUACAUCGAAUAGAUCUCCACAAGAGAGGGGGAGAACAUUGUAUUGAGAUCCAAAAAGAGAGAAGAAGCCAUCUAGCUACUAACUAUGGACCCGUAGGUCUGAGGUAAAAUACUCAUACUUCAUCGGAGGGGGCUAUGGUGUUGAUGUAGAAGCCCUCCGUGAUCGAUGCCCCCUCUGGCGGAGCUCCGGAACAGGCCCCAAGAUGGGAUCUCGUGGAUACAGGAAGUUACGGCGGUGGAAUUAGGGUUUUGGCUCCUGCUCUGAUCGUUUGGGGGUACGUGGAUAUAUAUAGGAGGAAGAAGUAUGUCGGUGGAGCAACAGGGGGCCCAUGAGGGUGGGGGCGCGCCUGGUAGGGUAGGGGGCGCCCCCUACCUCGUGGCCUCCUGUUACAUGCCUUGGCGUAGGGUCCAAGUCUCCCGGGUCUUAUCUGUUGAGAAAAUCACGUUCCCGAAGGUUUCAUUCCAUUUGGACUCCGUUUGAUAUUCCUUUCUUCGAAACCCUAAAACAGGCAAAAAAUAGCAAUUCUGGAUUGGGCCUCCGGUUAAUAGGUUAGUCCCAAAAAUAAUAUAAAAGUGGAUAAUAAAGCCCAAUAAUGUCUAAAACAGUAGAUAUAGCAUGGAGCAAUCAAAAAUUAUAGAUACGUUGGAGACGUAUCACGUGUAUACAUGAUCAUACCUAGAUAUUCUCAUAACUAUGCUCAAUUCUUUCAAUUGCUCAACAGUAAUUUGUUCACCCACCGUAGAAUACUUAUGCUCUCGAGAGAAGCCACUAGUGAAACCUCUGGACCCCCUGUCUAUCUUCAUCAUAUUAAUCUACCAAUACUUAGUUAUUUCCUUUUGCUUUUACUUUGCUUUUAUUUUACUUUGCAUCUUUAUCAUAAAAACACCAAAAAUAUUAUCUUAUCAUAUCUAUCAAGAUCUCACUCUCGUAAGUGGCCGUGUAGGGAUUGACAAACCCUUACCACGUUGGUUGCGAGGAUUUAUUUGUUUUGUGCAGGUACGAGGGACUCGCGCGUACCCUCCUACUGGAUUGAUACCUUGGUUCUCAAAAACUGAGGGAAAUACUUACGCUACUUUGCUGCAUCAUCCCUUCCUCUUCGGGGAAAACCAACGCAGUGCUCAAGAGGUAGCAACUCCUUCUUUAUAAAGAUGUGGGUCAUCCCAAAAGUAAUGUCUCAAAUCAUAGAAGAACUUUUUCUUUUGCUGGUAUGUGAAACUAGGUGGUAUAAGUUUAGCAACAAUAUAAUUAGCAUAAUCAGCAUACCAUGGAGGAGUUCGAGAAGCAUUUAUGACAUUUGAUUGUUCAUCAGGAAAGCUAUCAUCAAUAGUUAGUGGGUUAUCAAGAACAUUUUCUAACCUAGACAAGUUGUCUGCAAUGGGGUUCUCAGCUCCCUUUCUAUCAAUAAUAUGCAAAUCAAAUUCUUGUAGCAAGAGAACCCAUCUAAUAAGUCUAGGUUUAGCAUCUUUCUUUUCCAUAAGGUAUUUAAUAGCAGCAUGAUUAGUGUGAAUAGUUACUUUAGAAUCAACAAUAUAAGGUCUGAACUUAUCACAAGCAAAAACAACUGCUAAGAAUUCCUUUUCAGUGGUAGCAUAAUUUCUCUGGGAAUUGUCUAGAGUUUUACUAGCAUAUUGAAUAACAUUUAAUUUCUUAUCAACUCUUUGCCCUAGAACAGCACCUACAGCAUAAUCACUAGCAUCACACAUAAUUUCAAAGGGUAAAUUCCAAUCAGGUGGCUGAACAAUAGGUGCAGAAAUCAAUGCUUCCUUAAGUAUUUCAAAUGCUUCUACACAAUCAUCAUCAAAGACAAAAGGAAUAUCUUUUUGUAAUAGAUUAGUCAGAGGCCGAGAAAUUUUUGAGAAGUCCUUAAUGAACCUCCUAUAAAAACCGGCAUGACCGAGGAAGCUUCUUAUACCUUUAAUGUCCUUGGGACAUGGCAUCUUUUCAGUAGCAUCAACUUUAGCUUUAUCAACUUCAAUGCCUCUUUCAGAAAUUUUAUGCCCCAAGACAAUACCUUCAUUAACCAUAAAGUGGCAUUUCUCCCAAUUUAGAACAAGAUUAGUUUCUUCACAUCUCUGCAAAACUCGAUCAAGGUUUGCUUAAGCAAUCAUCAAAAGAGGAUCCAUAAACGGAGAAAUCGUCCAUGAAAACCUCACAUAUCUUUUCACAAAAGUCAGAGGAUAUAGCCAUCAUGCAUCUUUGGAAGGUAGCGGGUGCAUUACAUAAACCAAAUGUAACAUCCCAAUUUUCCUAAAUAAGGAUGUUAUUAGAUCAUUCAUAUGCAUAUCAUAUUUUUAUUGCAUUAUUUGUCUUUCUGCAAUAUUCGAAUCAUUAUGCAACUAAAGGCAAUUUAUUGGAGCGGAGAUAACAUGACUUCUCCCCUGUUUUAAAAGGUUCAUAAUGUGCAGAAUAUUAUUUCCAGUUCAUCUGAUGUGUUCUGGUAUUUUUAUUAAUCUCAAAAAUAUUUUAUUUGUGUGUUAUUUUACUGUUUGUGUGGUCUAUUGCAUAAAAAUUAUUUUCAAAACUGCAUUAGAGUGGAAACUAGUUGUUCCUGUAGUUUAUAUUAGGUGUAUAUAUUUUACUGUGUGUCUACGUAUUUUUUUUAUUUAGUUUUUAUCCUGUUGCUUUAUUUUUAGUUCUUUUUACUUCUGUUGUUUUGUAAAGAAAAAAGGAAAAACUCAGCGCGCAGCGCAGAGCACUACGCGGCCCAGCUAGCCACGCGGCCCAGCACUGCGGCCCACCUAACCCCGCACCUGACCCGCACCCAACCGCACCGCUACACCCGACCAGCAUCGCCCCUCGCCUCCCGUUGCUGACCAGCGGGGCCCACACCGCCCCACUCUUCUUCCCCGAGUCGGCCGCACGCGCAGCCGCACACACGCAUCCGAGCGCAAGCCUAAGUCGAACUCGAGCACCGGGCCACCCCGCGCACGCCCGAGAUGUCUAGGGCGAGCCCACGCCCUCGAGGAACCCCCGAACCCCUGCCUCGUUCUUCCUCGUUGUCGCACGCAUCGGUUAGGGUGAAACCGAUCUCACCCGGAGCUCCACCGUCUGCCGCCGUUCGCCGGGUGGUUGCACCACUGUAAUAGCCGACCGAGCUUCACCUCCUACACCCUUCGAUUUCCCUCUCAACGGCGCACCCGCUUGACAUCUCCUUGUUGCCGGACACGCAGCAUAGGGAGAGGAACGAGCUGACCCACCGCCACUGGAGCAUCCGUGGUUCACGUUGCCGCCGCCGCCUACUGAGGGAGCUUCGCCGCCGUCCGACACCACCACCGCCUCCGCCACUCACAGUCGCACCCGCCCGUACCAUCGUCUUCGCCGGAGACCCACUGGAGAGCCGCCACCGCCGACGCUCGAGCCGCCGCCGUCGUUUAACGAUGUUUUGGGUGAGCACACGUGCCUGGUCAAAUCGAAAAUCGCACGUGGCGCUCGCUACAGGAGUUCGCUACAGAGUUGCUACAGUUUAGAUGUUUUCUGUUGCUUUUUAUUUUAUCUUCAGAUUUCAACUCUAACUUCAACUAGCUAUAUCUUUUAUUCUAUAAAUCCAAUUUAGGUAAUUCUUUUUCCUAUGCACUCACAAAAAUCAGCACAUUAUCACAAUACCAAAAUCUCACAUGUUUGCACAAUUCAAAUUUGAAUUCGUUUGAAUUCAAAUUAAACCUUCCGGAGGCCGUAUCUUUCAAACCGCUUAUCGAAUUCGAGUGAUUCUUUUUGCCUUGUGAUCAUAGUGCAAUUUAGGUGUUGUUAUGCUGCUGUUGUUGAGUUUUAAAAAUGGUUUUCUUGCUGUUGGUUUUGUUUUUGGUUCUAUUCGUGUUCCGGUGAUUGAUUUGUUGUUUUGUGUGAAACGUGUAGAUUGUCCAGAGUGCGACGCAAGCUAUUGUCGGGAGUGUGACCUUUUGAACCAGAACCAAGGCAAGUUACAUGUUGAUCAUCCCUUACAGAUUGUUUUCUAUGCAUGUAUUUAUAUCACACUAUGAUGUAUAGGAUUAUUAUAUUAUUUUUCUAUAUUGUUGAGCUAUCUCCCGUCACUGCAGAUCGUGGUAGUUUUAGUUGCUAUGCUAUGUAGACGGGGAUUGGUUCGUGUAUUCAUUGAGCUUAUGUGAGGAUUAUAUAUAUAAUAAUUUGAGUAGUAACUCGGGAUUUAAUUCACCUCUGGGCAGAAUUGGUAUUGGUUGGGUGGUCUCAAGAACAUCAUGGUUUAUACCCUCUGAAUGUAAGUGGACGGCCGCCUAGGCUCAAAAAGAUGAGACAGACUUAGUGACUAGUAGCUUCCAUGUGCGACCACUGGCUAAAUGGGCUCUGGCUUAGUUGAUCAGUUGUGGAACCCUUACCUGGAUGUGCCAGCAGAUGUAGAUAUAAUAGUUGGGAUGGGCCUCUUGUUGGGACUUGGGGACUGCUUCUGAAAGACUUCCUCUCAAUCUUCGGGUUGGGUCCAGUGGGUAAAGCGUACUAAACUCUGCAGAGUAUUAAAAACUAAUCAUGAUUAGCCAUGUCCCCGGUUAUGGGAAACUUUGAGUGACUAUGCCAUUACAGUUGUUGGAUGAUCUUGACAAAUGCGACACUUAAUAAUAUUUGUGGGAAAACUUAAUAAAGGGUAGGUUGGAGUUGAUUUUGCCAACUCAACCUUGUGUAUUUACUUGUAGUAAUAAAGAACUAAAUUAAAAAUUUGACUAUUAGGUAGUUGUUAGGAUAAAAUUAGCUUUCUGCAAAAAGAAACCCUCAAGCCUUCCUUUGUUGUACUAUGCAUAUACAUGUAGGUCUGCUUUAUUAUUACUCCUAUGUAACUUGCCAAUACAUUCCAAGUAUUGACCUAUAUGGCUGUAACGUCUCAUGUUGCAGGAUAUUCUGACGAAGAGUAAGGUACUGUUAGGGUCGCGAGUCUGCACUCAGCAUCGCCAGUGGGCUAUGAUGGGAGUCAUCGUUAUUUUCUGCUACUUUCCGCCGUUUGAUUGAAUAAAGCUAGCCAAGUGCUAUGCAGAUUGUUUUAUUUUAUAUAUUCUGGAUCAUAUGAUGUAAUAAAUGAUGCUCUUGCUAUUCUGGUAUUCAUCUAUACUGUGUGUGCUAGCGAGUUCGAUCCAGGGACUAGCACGAUAAGCACAGAGACUCAAAUCCUUCGAGGUUUGGUCAUUACACCAAAAGGCAUACUUCUAUAAGAAAAAGUACCGAAAGGGCAAGUAAAAGUGGUCUUUGAUUGAUCAUCAGCUGACACAGGUAUUUGAGAGAAGCCAGAGUAACCAUCUAGAAAGCAAAAAUGUGUAUGAUUGGAUAAUCUUUCUAGCAUUUGAUCAAUAAAAGGUAAGGGGUAAUGAUCUUUUUUAGUAGCCUUAUUUAAAUUGCAGAAAUCAAUUACCAUCCUAUAGCCUGUAAUAAUUCUUUGCAGAAUCAAUUCAUCUUUAUCAUUAGGGACAACAGUAAUACCUCCCUUCUUAGGGACACAAUGAACAUGACUUACCCACUGACUAUCAACAAUGGGAUAAAUUAUACCUGCCUCAAGGAGCUUUAAUAUUUCUUUUCUCACCACUUCUUUUAUCUUAGGAUUCAGCCAUCGUUGAUGAUCAAUAACUGGUUUGGCGUUUUCCUCCAAAUUUAUUAUGUGUUGACAUAGAGUAGGACUAAUGCCCUUAAGAUCAUCAAGAGUAUAUCCAAUAGCAGCACGGUGCUUCUUCAGAGUUUUCAAUAAUUUCUCUUCCUCCUUCUCCGAAAGGUUAGCACUAAUAAUAACAGGAUAUAUUUUCUUUUCAUCAAGAUAAGCAUAUUUAAGAGUAUCAGGUAAUGGUUUAAGCUCAAACACGGGAUCACCCUUGGGUGGAGGAGGAUCAACGGGCAAGUUGUGUUUCAAAAUAGGUCCCUGUUUAAAGAAUACUUCAUGUAUUUCCCUUCUUUCAUGCAUGAACAUAUCAUUUUCAUGGUCUAGCAAAUAUUGUUCUAAUGGAUCAGCAGGAGGCACGGCAAUAGAAGCAAGACCAAUAAUUUCAUCUUUACUAGGCAAUUCUUUAUCAUGGGGUUGUCUAUGAAAUUUAGAAAAAUUAAACUCAUGAGACAUAUCAUCCAAACCAAUAGUAACAACAUCUUUCUUGCAAUCUAUCUUAGCAUUAACAGUGUUCAAGAAGGGUCUACCAAAUAUAAUGGGAAAAAGCUAUCUUGAGUGGAACCAAGAACAAGAAAAUCAGCAGGAUAUUUAGCCUUCCCACACAAGACUUCAACGUCUCUAACAAUCCCAAUUGGUGAAAUAGUAUCUCUAUUAGCAAGCUUAAUGGUAACAUCAAUACCUUCUAACUUAGCUGGUGCAAUAUCAUGCAUAACUUCUUUGUAUAAGGAAAUAGGUAUUACACUGGCACUAGCACCCAUAUCACAUAAGCCAUGAUAACAAUGACCUCCUAUUUUAACAGAAAUAAUAGGCAUGCCUACCACAGGUCUAUGUUUAUCUUUAGCACCAGGUUUAGCAAUUCUAGCAGUCUCAUCACAUAAAUAAAUAACAUGCCCAUCGAUAUUAUCAGCCAGGAAAUCUUUAACAAUAGCAAUAUCAGGUUCAACUUUAACUUGCUCAGGAGGUGUAGAAGUUCUAAUAUUACUUUUACGAACCAAAGUUGAAGCUUUAGCAUGAUGCUUUAUUCUAAUAGGGAAAGGUGGUUUCUCAACAUAAGUAGUGGGAACAAUAGGAUCAUUAUAAGUGAUAGUCUUUUCUUCAAUUUUAAUAGGUGCAACUACUUUUACUUCAAUGGGAGGAUUAUAUUUAAACCACUUCUCGCUGGGGAGAUCAAUAUGAGUAGCAAAAGAUUCACAAAAAGAAGCUACUAUCUCAGAGUCAAGUCCAUAUUUAGUGCUAAAUUUACGGAAAACAUCGGUAUCCAUAAAAGAUUUAACACAAUCAAACUUAGGUGUUAUACCUGACUCUUUACCUUUGUCGAGAUCCCAAUCUUCAGAGUUGCGUUUAAUUCUCUCCAAUAAAUUCCAUUUGUAUUCAAUAGUCUUCAUCAUAAAGGAGGCAGUACAAGAAAUAUCGAGCAUGGAGUGAUUGUUGUCAGAAAGCCGAGCAUAAAAUUUUUGAAUAAUCAUUUCUCUUGAGAGCUCAUGAUUGGGGCAUGAAUAUAACAUUGACUUAAGCCUCCCCCAAGCUUGAGCGAUGCUUUCUCCUUCGCGAGGCCAAAAAUUAUAUAUAUAAUUACGAUCACGAUGAACAAGACGCAUAGGAUAAUGCUACCUCUUGAGCACUGCGUUGGUUUUCCCUUGAAGAGGAAAUGAUGAUGCAGCAAAGUAGCGUAAGUAUUUCCCUCAGUUUUCGAGAACCAAUGUAUCAAUCCAGUAGGAGGCUACACGCGAGUCCCUCGCACCUGCACAAAACAAAUAAAUCCUCGCAACCAACGCGAUAAGGGGUUGUCAAUCCCUACAUGGUCACUUACGAGAGUGAGAUCUGAUAGAUAUGAUAAGAUAAUAUUUUUGGUAUUUUUAUGAUAAACAUGCAAAGUAAAAUAAAAGGCAAUGAAAAUAACUAAGUAAUGGAAGAUUAAUAUGAUGAAGAUAGACCCGGGGGCCAUAGGUUUCACUAGUGGCUUCUCUCAAGAGCAUAGGUAUUUUAAAGUGGGUGAACAAAUUACUGUUGAGCAAUUGACAGAAUUGAGCAUAGUUAUGAGAAUAUCUAGGUAUGAUCAUGUAUAUAAGCAUCACGUCCAAGACAAGUAGACCGACUCCUGCCUGCAUCUACUACUAUUACUCCACACAUCGACCGCUAUCCAGCAUGCAUCUAGAGUAUUAGGUUCAUAAGAACAGAGUAACACAUUAAGCAAGAUGACAUGAUAUAGAUGGAUAAACUCAUGCAAUAUGAUAAAAACCCCAUCUUGUUAUCCUCGAUGGCAACAAUACAAUACGUGCCUUGCUGCCCCUACUGUCACUGGGAAAGGACACCGCAAGAUUGAACCCAAAGCUAAGCACUUCUCCCAUUGCAAGAAAGAUCAAUCUAGUAGGCCAAACCAAACUGAUAAUUCGAAGAGACUUGCAAAGAUAACCAAUCAUACAUAAAAGAAUUCAGAGAAGAUUCAAAUAUUGAUCAUAGAUAGACUUGAUCAUAAACCCACAAUUCAUCGGUCUCGACAAACACACCGCAAAAAGAAGAUUACAUCGAAUAGAUCUCCACAAGAGAGGGGGAGAACAUUGUAUUGAGAUCCAAAAAGAGAGAAGAAGCCACCUAGCUACUAACUAUGGACCCGUAGGUCUGAGGUAAACUACUCACACUUCAUCGGAGGGGCUGUGGUGUUGAUGUAGAAGCCCUCCAUGAUGGAUACCCCCUCCGGCGGAGCUUCGGGACAGGCCCCAAGAUGGGAUCUGAUCGUUUGGGGAUACGUAGGUAUAUAUAGGAGGAAGAAGUACGUCGGUGGAGCAACAGGGGGCCCACGAGGGUGGAGAGCGCGCCCCCCUACCUCGUGGCCUCCCUGUUGGUUGCUUGACGUAGGGUCCAAGUCUCCUGGAUCUUGUUCGUUCCAAAAAAAUCACGUUCCCGAAGGUUUCAUUCCGUUUGGACUCCGUUUGAUAUUCCUUUUCUUUGAAACCCUAAAAUAGGCAAAAAAACAGCAAUUCUGGGCUGGGCCUCCGGUUAAUAGGUUAGUCCCAAAAAUAAUAUAAAAGUAUGAUAAAGCCCAAUAAUGUCCAAAACAGUAGAUAAUAUAGCAUGGAGCAAUCAAAAAUUAUAGAUACGUUGGAGACAUAUCAAGCAUCCCCAAGCUUAAUUCCUGCUCGUCCUCGAGUUGGUAAAUGAUAAAAAUAGAAUUUUUGAUGUGGAAUGCUACUAGGCAUAAUUUCAAUGUAAUUCUUCUUAAUUGUGGCAUGAAUAUUCAGAUCCGAAAGAUUCAAGAUAAAAGUUUAAUAUUGACAUAGAAAUAAUAAUACUUCAAGCAUACUAACUAAGCAAUUAUGUCUUCUCAAAAUAACAUGGCCAAAGAAAGUUCAUCCCUACAAAAUCAUAUAGUUUAGUCAUGCUCCAUUUUCAUCACACAAGAAUGCUCUCAUCAUGCACAACCCCGAUGACAAGCCAAGCAAUUGUUUCAUACUUUAGUAAUCUCAAACUUUAUAAACCUUCAUGUAAUACAUGAGCGCGAGCCAUGGACAUAGCACUAUGGGUGGAAUAGAGUAUAAUGAUGGGGGUUAUGUGGAGAAGACAAAAAGGAGAAAGUCUCACAUCAACGAGGCUAAUCAAUGAGCUAUGGAUAUGCUCAUCGAUUGAUGUUAAUGCAAGGAGUAGGGAUUGCCAUGCAAUGGGUGCACUAGAGCUAUAAAUGUAUGAAAGCUCAACAAAAGAAACUAGUGGGUGUGCAUCCAACUUGCUUGCUCACGAAGACCUAGGGCACUUGAGGAGUCCCAUUGUUGGAAUAUACAAGCCAAGUUCUAUAAUGAAAAAUUCCCACUAGUAUAUGAAAAUGAAAAACAAGAGACUCUCUAUCAUGAAGAUCAUGGUGCUACUUUGAAGCACAAGUGUGGAAAAAGGAUAGUAGAAUUGCCCCUUUUUAUUUCUUUUUUUUUGGGCCUUCAUUUUUUUAUUUGGCCUUUCUCUUUUUUUAUUGGGAAAAUGCUCUAUUAAAUGAUGAUCAUCACACUUCUAUUUAUGUACAACUCAAUGAUUACAACUCGAUACUAGAAUAAGGUAUGACUCUAUAUGAAUGCCUCCGGCAGUGUACUGGGAUAUGCAAUGAAUCAAGUGUGACAUGUAUGAAAAACUAUGAACGGUGGCUUUGCCACAAAUACGAUGUCAACUACACGAUCAUGCAAAGCAAUAUGACAAUGAUGAACGUGUCAUGAUAAACAGGAUGGUGGAAAGUUGCAUGGCAAUAUAUCUCGGAAUGGCUAUGGAAAUGCCAUAAUAGGUAGGUAUGGUGGCUGUUUUGAGGAAGAUAUAAGGAGGUUUAUGUGUGAAAGAGCGUAUCAUAUCAUGGGGUUUGGAUGCACCGGUGAAGUUUACACCAACUCUCAAUGUGAGAAAGGGCAAUGCACGGUACCGAAGAGGCUAGCAAUGAUGGAAGGGUGAGAGUGCGUAUAAUCCAUGGACUCCAACAUUAGUCAUAAAGAACUCACGUACUUAUUGCAAAAAUCUACAAGUCAUCAAAAACCAAGCACUACGUGCAUGCUCCUAGGGGGAUAGAUUGGUAGGAAAAGACCAUCGCUCAUCCCCGACCGCCACUCAUAAGGAGGACAAUCAAAGAACACCUCAUGUUUCAAAUUUGUUACAUAAUGUUUACCAUACAUGCAUGCUACGGGACUUGCAAACUUCAACACAAGUAUUUCUCAAUUUCACAACUACUCAACUAGCACAACUUUAAUAUCACUACCUCCAUAUCUCAAAACAAUCAUCAAACAUCAAACUUCUCUUAGUAUUCAACACACUCAUAAGAGAAUUUUAUUAUUAAUCUUGUAUACCUAGCAUAUUAGGAUUAUCUAAGAAAAUUACCAUGCUAUUUAAGACUCUCAAAAUAAUCUAAGUGAAGCAUGAGAGAUCAAUAGUUUCUAUAAAACAAAUCCACCACCGUGCUCUACAAGAUAUAAGUGAAGUACUAGAGCAGAACUAUAUAACUCAAAAGAUAUAAGUGAAGCACAUAGAUUAUUCUAAUAAUUUCCGAAUCAUGUGUGUUUCUCUCAAAAUGUGGGUACAGCAAAGAUGAUUGUGGUAAACUAAAAGGCAAAGACUCAAAUCAUACAAGACGCUCCAAGCAAAACACAUAUCACGUGGUGAAUAAAAAUAUAGCUCCAAGUAAAGUUACCGAUAGAAGUAGACGAAAGAGGGGAUGCCUUCCGGGGCAUCCCCAAGCUUUGGCUUUUAGGUGUCCUUAGAUUAUCUUGGGGGUUCGAUGGGCAUCCCCAAGCUUAGGAUCUUGCCACUCCUUGUUCCAUAAUCCAUGAAAUCUUUACCCAAAACUUGAAAACUUCACAACACAAAACUUAAAGUAGAAAAUCUCGUGAGCUCCGUUAGCCAAAGAAAACAAAAGACCACUUCAAGGUACUGUAAUGAACUCAUUCUUUAUUUAUAUUGGUGUUAGACCUACUGUAUUCCAACCUUUUUAUGGUUUAUGAACUAUUUUACUAGCCAUAGAUUCAUCAAAAUAAGCAAACAACACACGAAAAACAGAAUCUGUCAAAAACAGAACAGUCUGUAGUAACCUGUAGCUAGCGCAAGAUCUGAACCCCAAAAAAUCUAAAAUAAAUUUCUGGACGUGAGGAAUUUAUCUAUUAAUCAUCUUCAAAAAGAAUUAACUAAAUAGCACUUUCCAAAUAAAAAUGGCAGCAGUUCUCGUGAGCGCUAAAGUUUCUGUUUUUUACAGCAAGAUUAACAAGACUUUCCCCAAGUCUUCCCAACAGUUCUACUUGGCACAAACACUAAUUAAACACAAAAAACACAACCAAAACAGAGUCUAGAUAAAUUAUUUAUUACUAAACAUGAUCAAAAAGCAAGGAAUAAAAAUAAAAUUGGGUUGCCUCCCAACAAGCGCUAUCGUUUAACGCCCCUAGCUAGGCAUAAAAAGCAAGGAUAGAUCUAGGUAUUGCCAUCUUUGGUUGGUAAUUCUUCAAUGAGGCAUCUACCGUAUUUAGGAAUUUCUUUCUUUUUAUUGAUUAUCAAACUUUUAGGCACAAGAUCGAAAAAAUCAUUAGCAGCAAAUGGUUCCUUAAUAAUAGCAAAAAGAUUAGGAUGAACACUUAUAGAUUUGAGAUCCGCAGUUUCUUUGCUAGAGGAUUCACCUAUAUUUUUAGGAACAUACAUAAGCUUGGCAAUUUUAGUCGGAGGACUUGGAGUAUUCUUUAUGGAAGAAAAAGCGGUUCCCAAGUUGGUAAUGAUACCCUCAAGUUUAUCGAUUCUAGUGGAAUCAUGAUUUAUUCUUUCAUUAACUAUAGGUUCCUUCUCUUUAAUAUUUUUCAAAGUUACUCCUACUUUAGAUCCAUAUUGGGUAAUUUGGUUAUGGAUCUUUUUAUCGAAAUUUUCAAUUAACUCAAUGAUAGCAACUUUAUUUUCAAUAAUUCCAAGUUUUUGCAUUACAUGCUCCAAAGUUAACAUAGUUCCAUUAACCAAAAGAGGUGGUGAGCCAAACAAAUCUAUCAUAGCAUUGUAAGAAUCAAAAGUGUGGCUACCCAAGAAGUUACCUCCGGUAAUGGUAUCAAGGAUAUAUCUGUGCCAAGGAGUAACGCCUACAUAAAAAUUGCGAAGAAGAACAGAAGUAGAUUGCUUCCUGGUAGAUCUAUUUUGAGCAUUGCAAAUUCUAUACCAAGUGUCUUUUAGAUUUUCUCUCUCCCUUUGCUUAAAAUUUAGAACUUCAUUCUCGGGAGACAACGGAGAAGAUAGAGGACUCGCCAUAACGACAAGCAAACAGGGAAUGGGCAAAAAGAGGCAAAUAGAGAAAGAGAGGGAGGAUAGAGAGAGAGAGAGAGGGCGAAUAAAAUGACAAGGGUGAAGUGGGGCAGAGGAAAACGAGAGGCAAAUGGCAAAUAAUGUAAUGCGGGAGAUAAGGGUUUGUGAUGGGUACUUGGUAUGUUUGACUUUUCCUUAGACCUCACUGGCAACGGCGCCAGAAAUCCUUCUUGCUACCUCUUGAGCACUGCGUUGGUUUUCCCUUGAAGAGGAAAGGGUGAUGCAGCAAAGUAGCGUAAGUAUUUCCCUCAGUUUUUGAGAACCAAGGUAUCAAUCCAGUAGGAGGCUACGCGCGAGUCCCUUGCACCUGCACAAAACAAAUAAAUCCUCACAACCAACGCGAUAAGGGGUUGUCAAUACCUACACAGUCACUUACGAGAGUGAGAUCUGAUAGAUAUGAUAAGAUAAUAUUUUUGGUAUUUUUAUGAUAAAGAUGCAAAGUAAAAUAAAAGACAAUGAAAAUAACUAAGUAAUGGAAGAUUAAUAUGAUGAAGAUAGACCCGGGGGGCAUAUGUUUCACUAGUGGCUUCUACCAAGAGCAUAGGUAUUUUAAGGUGGGUGAACAAAUUACUGUUGAGCAAUUGAUAGAAUUGAGCAUAGUUAUGAGAAUAUCUAGGUAUGAUCAUGCAUAUAAGCAUCACGUCCGAGACAAGUAGACCGACUCCUGCCUGCAUCUACUACUAUUACUCCACACAUCGACCGCUAUCCAGCAUGCAUCUAGAGUAUUAAGUUCAUAAGAACAGAAUAACGCCUUAAGCAAGAUGACAUGAUGUAGAGGGAUAAACUCAUGCAAUAUGAUAAAAAAAACCAUCUUGUUAUCCUCGAUGGCAACAAUACAAUACGUGCCUUGCUGCCCCUACUGUCACUGGGAAAGGACACCGAAAGAUUGAACCCAAAGCUAAGCACUUCUCCCAUUACAAGAAAGAUCAAUCUAAUAGGCCAAAGCAAACUGAUAAUUCGAAGAGACUUGCAAAGAUAACCAAUCAUACAUAAAAGAAUUCAGAGAAGAUUCAAAUAUUGUUCAUAGAUAAACUUGAUCAUAAACCCACAAUUCAUCGGUCUCAACAAACACACCGCAAAAGAAGAUUACAUCGAAUAGAUCUCCACAAGAGAGGGGGAGAACUUUGUAUUGAGAUCCAAAAAGAGAGAAGAAGCCAUCUAGCUAAUAACUAUGGACCCAUAGGUCUGAGGUAAACUACGUACACUUCAUCGGAGAGGCUAUGGUGUUGAUGUAGAAGCCCUCCGUGAUCGAUGCCCCCUCCGGUGGAGCUCCGAAACAGGCCCCGCGAUGGGAUCUCGUGGAUACAGAAAGUUACGACAGUGGAAUUAGGGUUUUGGCUCCGUAUCUGAUCAUUUGGGGUAUGUAGGUAUAUAUAGGAGGAAGAAGUACGUUGGUGGAGCAAUAGGGGGCCCACGAGGGUGGAGGGCGCGCCUGGGGGGUAGGCGCGCCCCCUACCUCGUGGCCUCCCUGUUGGUUGCUUGAUGUAGGGUCCAAGUCUCCUGGAUCUUGUUCGUUCCAAAAAUCACGUUCCCGAAGGUUUCAUUCUGUUUGGACUCUGUUUGAUAUUCCUUUUCUUCGAAACCAUAAAACAGGCAAAAACAACAAUUCUGGGCUGGGCCUCCGGUUAAUAGGUUAGUCCUAAAAAUAAUAUAAAAGAGUAUAAUAAAGCCCAAUAAUGUCAAACCAGUAGAUAAUAUAGCAUGGAGCAAUCAUAAAUUAUAGAUACGUUGGAGACAUAUUAGAUAAACUUCUGAUGAAAUUCCAAUUUCAAUCGCUUAUAGUCCCAUGAUCCCAUAUCAUCACAUAGCCUAUACCAUAUCAAUGCAUCUCCCUUCAAAGAUAAAGGGAAGACCUUCUUCUUGAUAACAUCAUCGGGCAUAUCUGCAAGCUUAAAUAAUCCACAAACUUCAUCUACAUAGGUUAAGUGUAAGUCGGGAUGCAAUGUUCCAUCUCCUGCAAAAGGAUUAGCUAGCAGUUUCUCUAUCAUACCCGAAGGAAUUUUGAAGUAAACAUUUUCAUUUUCACUAGGUCCAGUAGGUUGAGGAGCAACUAUUUGCUCUACUGGUCAGGGUGAAGAUACUCCGAACAAGCCCCUCAAAGGAUUACUUUCCAUAGUAAUAAGUGACAGUAAAUUUCAGCACACCAUAUAAAUUUUUCCUUACCAAAUUCCACCUACCAAAGGCGCUUUGAUGACCCACAAGUAUAGGGGAUCUAUCGUAGUCCUUUCGAUAAGUAAGAGUGUCGAACCAAACGAGGAGCAGAAGGAAAUGAUAAGCGGUUUCCAGCAAGGUAUUCUCUGCAAGUACUGAAAUAAGUGGUAACAGAUAGUUUUGUGAUAAGAUAAUUUGUAACGAGCAACAAGUAACAAAAGUAAAUAAGGUGCAGCAAGGUGGCCCAAUCCUUUUUGUAGCAAAGGACAAGCUUGGACAAACUCUUAUAUGAUGUAAAGCUUUCCUGAGGACACAUGGGAAUAUUGUCAAGCUAGUUUUCAUCACGCUCAUAUGAUUCGCGUUCGGUACUUUGAUAAUUUGGUAUGUGGGUGGACCGGUGCUUGGGUGCUGCCCUUACUUGGACAAACAUCCCACUUAUGAUUAACCUCUAUUGCAAGCAUUCACAAAUACAACAAAAGUAUUAAGGUAAACCUAACCAUAGCAUGAAACAUAUGGAUCCAAAUCAGCCCCUUAUGAAGCAAUGCAUAAACUAGGGUUUAAGCUUUUGUCACUCUAGCAACCCAUCAUCUACUUAUUACUUCCCAAUGCCUUCCUCUAGGCCCAAACAUGGUGAAGUGUCAUGUAGUCGAUGUUCACAUAACACCACUAGAGGGGAGACAACAUACAUCUCAUCAAAAUAUCAAAAGAAUACCAAAUUCACAUGACUACUAAUAGCAAGACUUCUCUCAUGUCCUCAGGAACAAAAGUAACUACUCACAAAGCAUAAACAUGUUCAUAAUCAGAGGGGUAUUAAUGUGCAUAUAGGAUCUGAACAUAUGAUCUUCCACCAAUUAAACCAACUAGCAUCAAUUACAAGGAGUAAUUAACACUAUUAGCAACCUACUAGCACCAAUCCCGGACUUGGAGACAAGAAUUGGAUACAAGAGAUGAACUAGGGGUUUGAGAUGAGAUGGUCCUGAUGAAUAUGUUGAUGGAGAUUGCCCUCUCCCGAUGAGAGGAGCGUUGGUGAUGACGAUGGCGAUGAUUUCCCCCUCGGGGAGGGAAGUUUCCCCGGCAGAACAGCCCUGCCAGAACCCUAGAUUGGCUCCGCCAAGGUUCUGCCUCGUGGCGGCGGAGUUUCGUCCGAGAAGAUGGCUUAUGAUUUUUUUCCCAUUGAAAGAGUCCAUAUAGCAGAAGAUGGUCACCGGAGGGCCACUAGGGGGCCCACGAGGUAGGGGGCGCGCCCCCACCCUCGUGGGCAGGGUGUGGCCCCCCUGGUGAAGUUCUUGCGCUCAAUGUUUUUUAUAUAUUUAGAAAACAUCAUCCGUGAAGUUUCAGGACUUUUGGAGCUGUGCAGAAUAGGACUCUAAUAUUUGCUCCUUUUCCAGCCAGAAUCCCAGCUGUCGGCAUUCUCCCUCUUUAUGUAAACCUUGUAAAAUAAGAGAGAAUAGGCAUAAGUAUUAUGACAUAAUGUGUAAUAACAGCCCAUAAUGCAAUAAAUAUUGAUAUAAAAGCAUGAUGCAAAAUGGACGUAUCAACUCCCCCAAGCUUAGACCUCGCUUGUCCUCAAGCGAAAAGCCGAAAUCGAAAAAUAUGCCACAUGUUUAGAGAUGAAGGUGUCGAUAAAAAUAAAAUACGGACAUGAGGGCAUCAUGAUUAUUCUUAGAGCAACAACUUAUAUAAUUCUUGUCAUAUGAUAUCUUAUGCUAGAGUAAUAAUUCAAUCACAAUAUCAAGUAUGAAUCGUAAACUUCAUUCAAAACUAACAAACUAUAAUCUCGGUCAUUAAGGCAAUUGCAAUUUAUCAUAACAUAGGAAAGAGUCAAUGUAUAAGAGCUUUUUAGCAAGUCCACAUACUCAACUAUCAUAUAGUCUUUCACAAUUGCUGACACUCACGCAAUACUUAUGGGUAUGGAGUUUUAAUCGGACAUGGAGAAAGAUAGGGGCUUAUAGUUUUACCUCCCAACGUUUUACCUCAAGGGUAAUGUCAACAGUAAUAGUUCAUGAAAACCCACAUCCAAUUAGCCAUAUAUACCGGGAUCUUUCCAACAUAUUGUGCUUGCCAAAGGAUAAAAUGUAAAAAGGAAGAUCACCAUGACUCUUUCGCAGAGGGAAGCAGAGGUUGUCAUGCGCUUUUAUGGUUGGAUGCACAAAAUCCUAAUGUGAAAGAACACCACUUUAUAUUGCCACUUGUGAUAUGGACCUUUAUUAUGCAGGCUGUCGCUUUUAUUACUUCCAUAUCACACGAUCGUAUAAAGCUUAUUUCUACCACAACAAUCAAUCAUACAUAUUUAGAGAGCAAUUUUUAUUGCUUGCACCGAUCACAACUUACUUGAUGGGUCUUACUCAAUCCAUGGGUAGGUAUGGUGGACUCUCAUGGCAAAACUGGUUUAAGGGUAUUUGGAAGCACAAGUAGUAUCUCUACUUGGCACAAUGAAUUUGGCUAGCAUGAGGGAGAAAGGCAAGCUCAACAUGUUGGAGGAUCCAAGACAAUAUAAUUUAUCUCAGAUGUAAGAAAACAUAACCCAUUAUGUUGUCUUCCUUGUCCAAUAUCAACUCUUUAGCAUGUCAUAUUUUAAUGAGUGCUCACAAUUAUAAAAGAUGUCCAAGAUAGUAUAUUUAUAUGUGAAGACCUCUCUUUCUUUAUUACUUCCUAUUAAUUGCAACGAUGACCAAAACUAUGUUUGUCAACCCUCAAUAACUUUUAUUCAUCAUACUCUUUCUAUGUUAGCUCAUUACUCUCCAUAAGAGUCACAUGAUCUCUUUGUUUCUUUUUAUUUCUUUCUCUUUCCCUUUAUUCACUUAGGAUCAUGCCAAAAUAAUCAAGCCCUUGACUCAACACUAAUCUUUAUUAUAUAGCUCACGGACUCGGUUACAUAGAAGGAUAAUAAAGCAAAACUCACAACUAGAUCAUACUAAGAACUUUUAUUCUACUAGAUCAAAAUAUUACCAAAAGGAUCAAACUAAGAAAAACGAUAAAGAUAAAAGUGAUGGUGAUACGAUACCGGGGCACUCCCCCAAGCUUGGCAGUUGCCAAGUGGAGUGCCCAUACCAGAUACUCAAUUCUUCUUUGUUGGUGAAGAAGGUGGGGAUGUUGAUGAUGGAUAGUCGCACAUCGAGCGUAGGAGGUCUUCUAACUUGCGGAUAAUGCCCUUGAGUGCGAUGAUAUGCUCCUUCAACAAAAUAUUUUCACGUGUGAGAUACUUAUUUUGUAUACGAGCUAACUCAAUCAUCUUGAAAGCUUCGAUUUCUAUUGGGGUAAGAAGAUUAUGAUUCAGUUGAAGGGUGUCUUCUGUUGCUGGAACUUGGUCCUCCAUGGCCUUCUUGAUCCCUUCAUCCUUGUUGAUCUCCAUAGGUUCUUCUCUCUUCAGCUCUAUCUUCAUUAGCCAAGCAUCAUUGCCCUCAGGUUGUAAGAGGAGGGAGACAACAUAGUGCCUGGCCUUGACAACCCUGACAGAAACAGCUCGAAACAAAAACAAGAGGAUUUUGCAUGAUACAGGAGUCAAAAUCUCCAGGAGAUUAUUUAAUGAAUUUUUACCGACCAAAAUACGUGUCAUGCAAGAAAACGGAGUCCGGAGAGCACAUGAGGUGCCCACGAGGUAGGGGGGCGCGCCGUCCACCCUCGUGGAGCCCUCGUGUCCUUUCUGGACUGCUGCUUAUUUUUCUAUUUUUCUAAAUAUUCCAAAACGAAGAAAUAUUGCCUUAAAAUUGUUUUGGAGUCGGUUUACUUACCGUACCACAUACCUAUUCCUUUUCGGAGUCUGAAGCGUUCCGGAAAGUGUCCCUUAUGUAUUCCUCCGGGGUUACGGUUUCAAUAAUAUUGGUUUCAACAUUUAUGGGAUUACCUGAGAUAUAAUGUUUGAUUCUUUGACCAUUUACCACCUUCGGAUUUGUGCCUUCGAAGUUGUUGAUUUUUAUGGCACCGAAACGGUAGAUCUCCUCGAUAACGUAGGGACCUUCCCAUUUAGAGAGAAGUUUUCCUGCAAAAAAUCUUAAACGAGAGUUGUAUAGCAAUACAUAAUCACCUACAUUAAACUCACGCUUUUGUAUUCUUUUAUCAUGCCACCUUUUAACUUUUUCUUUAAACAACUUGGCAUUUUCAUAGGCUAGGGUUCUCCAUUCAUCAAGUGAAUUAAUAUCAAAUAACCUCUUCUCACCGGCAAGUUUAAAAUCAUAAUUUAGUUCUUUAAUAGCCCAAUAAGCCUUGUGUUCUAGUUCGAGAGGUAAGUGACAUGCUUUUCCAUAGACCAUUUUAUACGGAGACAUACCCAUAGGAUUUUUAUAUGCAGUUCUAUAGGCCCAUAAUGCAUCAUCAAGUUUCUUCGACCAAUUCUUUCUAGACCUAUUAACAGUCUUUUGCAAAAUUAAUUUGAGUUCUCUAUUACUCAAUUCUACUUGACCACUAGACUGAGGGUGAUAGGGAGAUGCAAUUCUAUGAUUAACAUCAUAUUUAGCAAGCAUUUUACGGAAAGCACCAUGAAUAAAAUGUGAACCACCAUCAAUCAUUAAAUAUCUAGGGACUCCAAACCUUGGAAAGCUAAUUUCUUUAAGCAUUUCAAUAGAAGUGUUAUGAUCAGCACUACUAGUUGGAAUAGCUUCUACCCACUUAGUAACGUAAUCAACAACAACUAAAAUAUGUGUAUAACCAUUAGAGGAAGGAAAAGGUCCCAUAUAGUCAAAGCCCCAAACAUCAAAUGGUUCAAUAACAAGUGAAUAAUUCAUAGGCAUUUCUUGACGUCUACUAAUAUUACCAAUUCUUUGACAUUCAUCACAAGCUAAGACAAACUUACGGGCAUCCUUGAAGAGAGUAGGCCAAUAAAAACCAGAUUGCAAUACCUUAUGUGCAGUUCUAUCUUCAGCAUGGUGUCCUCCAUAAGCUUCGGAGUGACACUUGCGUAGGAUCUGUUCCUGUUCAUGCUCAGGUACACAACGUCUAAUAACACCAUCUACUCCUUCUUUAUAAAGAUGUGGGUCAUCCCAAAAGUAAUGCCUCAAAUCAUAGAAGAACUUUUUCUUUUGCUGGUAUGUGAAACUAGGUGGUAUAAACUUAGCAACAAUGUAAUUGGCAUAAUCAACAUACCAUGGAGCAGUAUGAGAAGUAUUUAUGACAUUUAAUUGCUCAUCAGGAAAGCUAUCAUCAAUAGGUAGUGGGUCAUCAAGCACAUUUUCUAACCUAGACAAGUUGUCUGCAACGGGGUUCUCAGCUCCUUUUCUAUCAACAAUAUGUAAAUCAAAUUCUUGAAGCAAGAGAACCCAUCUAAUAAGUCUAGGUUUAGCAUCUUUCUUUUCCAUAAGAUAUUUAAUAGCAGCAUGAUCAGUGUGAAUAGUUACUUUAGAAUCAACAAUAUAGGGUCUAAACUUAUCACAAGCAAAUACAACUGCUAAGAAUUCCUUUUCAGUAGUAGCAUAAUUUCUUUGAGCAUUGUCUAGAGUUUUACUAGCAUAUUGAAUAACAUUUAGUUUCUUAUCAACUCUUUGUCCUAGAAUAGCACCUACAGCAUAAUCACUAGCAUCACACAUAAUUUCAAAGGGUAAAUUCCAAUCAGGUGGCUGAACAAUAGGUGCAGAGAUCAAUGCUUUCUUAAGUAUUUCAAAUGCUUCUACACAAUCAUCAUCAAAAACAAAUGGUAUAUCUUUUUGUAAUAAAUUAGCCAGAGGCCGAGAAAUGUUUGAGAAGUCCUUAAUGAACCUCCUAUAAAACUAGCAUGACCAAGGAAACUUCUUAUACCUUUGAUGUCCUUGGGACAUGGCAUAUUUUCAAUAGCAUCAACCUUGGCUUUAUCAACUUCAAUACCUCUUUCAGAAACUUUAUGCCCGAAGGCAAUACCUUCAUUAACCAUAAAGUGGCACUUUUCCCAAUUCAGGACAAGAUUAGUUUCUUCACAUCUCUGCAAAACUCGAUCAAGUUUGCUAAAGCAAUCAUCAAAAGAAGAUCCAUAGACGGAAAAGUCGUCCAUGAAAACCUCACAAAUCUUUUCACAGAAGUCAGAGAAUAUAGCCAUCAUGCAUCUUUGAAAGGUAGCAGGUGCAUUACAUAAACCAAAAGGCAUACGUCUAUAAGCAAAAUUACCAAAAGGGCAUGUAAAAGUAGUCUUUGAUUGAUCUUUGACUGACACAUGUAUUUGAGAGAAACCAGAAUAACCAUCUAGAAAGCAAAAAUGUGUAUAUUUGGGUAAUCUUUCUAGCAUUUGAUCGAUAAAAGGUAAGGGGUAAUGAUACUUUUUAGUAGCCUUAUUUAAUUUGCGGAAAUCAAUUACCAUCCUAUAACCAGUAACAAUUCUUUGAGGAAUUAAUUCAUCUUUGUCAUUAGGAACAACAGUAAUACCUUCCUUCUUAGGGACACAAUGGACAGGGCUUACCCACUGACUAUCAGCAACGGGGUAAAUUAUACCUGCCCCAAGGAGCUUUAGUAUCUCCUUUCUUACCACUUCUUUCAUUUUAGGAUUCAGACGGCGUUGAUGAUCACGAACUGGUUUAGCAUCUUCUUCCAAAUUAAUUUUAUGUUGACAUAGAGUGGGACUAAUGCCCUUAAGAUCAUCAAGAGUAUACCCAAUAGCAGCACGGUGCUUCUUCAGAAUUUUCAAUAAUCUCUCUUCUUCAUGUUCUGAAAGGUUAGCACUAAUAAUAACAGGGUAUAUCUUUUUCUCAUCAAGAUAAGCAUAUUUAAGAGUAUCCGGUAAAGGUUUAAGCUCAAACACGGGAUUACCCUUGGGCGGAGGAGGAUCCCCUAGGAUUUCAACAGGUAAAUUGUGUUUCAGAAUAGGUUCCUGUUUAAAGAAUACUUCAUCUAAUUCUAUUCUUUCAUUCAUAAACAUAUCAUUUUCAUGGUCUAGCAAAUAUUGUUCUAAAGGAUCACUAGGAGGUACGACAAUAGAAGCAAGACCAAUAAUUUCAUCUUUACUAGGUAAUUCUUCUUCACGGUGUUGUCUAAUAAAUUUAGAAAAAUUAAAUUCAUGAGUCAUAUCAUCUAAACCGACAGUAACAACAUCUCUUUUGCAAUCUAUGGUAGCAUUAACAGUAUUUAAGAAGGGUCUACCAAAUAUAAUGGGACAGAAGCUAUCUUGUGGGGAACCAAGAACAAGAAAAUCAGCAGGAUAUUUAGUUUUCCCACACAAGACUUCAACAUCUCUAACAAUUCCCAUUAGUGAAAUAGUAUCUCUAUUAGCAAGUUUAAUUGUGACAUCAAUAUCUUCUAACUCAACAGGUGCAAUGUCAUGCAUAAUUUCGUUGUAUAAGUCAAUAGGUAUUGCACUAGCACUAGCACCCAUAUCAUAUAAGCCAUGAUAACAAUGAUCUCCUAUUUUAACAAAAAUAACAGGCAUGCCUAUCACAGGUCUAGGUUUAUCUGUAUCACGGGGUUUAGCAAUUCUAGCAGUUUCAUCACAGAAAUAAAUAACAUGCCCAUCUAUAUUAUCAGACAAGAGAUCUUUAACAAUAGCAAUAUUAGGUUCAACUUUAACUUGCUCAGGAGGUGUAUAUGUUUUAAUAUUGCUUUUACGAACCACAGUUGAAGCUUUAGCAUGAUCCUUUAUCCUAACAGGGAAAGGUGGUUUCUCAACACAAGAAGUAGGAACAAUAGGAUCAUUAUAAGUAAUAGUCUUUUCUUCAACUUUAAUAGGUGCAGCUACUUUUACUUCUACGGGAGGAUGAUAUUUAAACCACUUCUCCUUGGGGAGAUCAACAUAAGCAGCAAAAGAUUAACAGGAAGAAGCUACUAUCUCAGAGUCAAGUCCAUAUUUAGUGCUAAAUUUACGAAAAAUAUCGGUAUCUAUAAAAGAUUUAACACAAUCAAAACUAGGUGUCAUGCCUGACUCCUUACCAUUGUCGAGGUCCCAAUCUUCGGAGUUGCGUUUAAUUCUUUCCAAUAAAUCCCAUUUGAAUUCAAUAGUCUUCAUCAUAAAAGAGCCAGAACAAGAAGUAUCAAGCAUGGUGCGAUUGUUAUCAGAAAGCCGAGCAUAGAAAUUUUGAAUAAUCAUUUCUCUUGAGAGCUCAUGAUUGGGGCAUGAAUAUAACAUUGAUUUAAGCCUCCCCCAAGCUUGAGCGAUGCUUUCUCCUUUGCGAGGCCAAAAAUUAUAUAUAUAAUUGCGAUCACGAUGAACAAGAUGCAUAGGAUAAAACUUUUGAUGAAAUUCCAGUUUCAAUCGUUUGUAGUUCCAAGACUCCAUAUUGUCACAUAGCCUAUACCAUGUCGAUGCAUCUCCCCUCAAAGAUAAAGGGAAGACCUUCUUGUUAACAACAUCUCCGGGUACACCUGCAAGCUUAGAUAAUCCACAAACUUCAUCCACAUAUAUUGGAUGUUCAUUAGGAUGUUUUGUUCCAUCUCCUAAAAAGGGAUUAGCUAGCAGUUUUUCUACCAUACCCAAAGGAAUUUCAAAGCAAGCAUUUUCAUUUUCAGUAGGUUCAGUAGGUUAAGGAGCAACUCUUUGCUAUACUGGUCGGGGUGAAGAUACCCCGAACAAGCCCCUCAGAGGAUUACUUUCCACAGUAACAAGUGACAGUAAAUUUCAGCACACUAUAUAAAUUUUUCCUUACCAAAUUCCACCUACCAAAGGCGCUUCACUCCCCGGCAACGGGCCAGAAAAGAGUCUUGAUGACCCACAAGUAUAGGGUAUCUAUCGUAGUCCUCUCGAUAAGUAAGAGUGUCGAACCCAACGAGGAGCAGAAGGAAAUGAUAAGCGGUUUCCAGCAAGGUAUUCUCUGCAAGUACUGAAAUAAGUGGUAACAGAUAGUUUUGUGAUAAGAUAAUUUAUAACGAGCAAAAAGUAACAAAAGUAAAUAAGGUGCGGCAAGGUGGCCCAAUCCUUUUUGUAGCAAAGGACAAGCCUGGACAAACUCUUAUAUGAUGUAAAGCGCUCCCGAGGACACAUGGGAAUAUUGUCAAGCUAGUUUUCAUCACGCUCAUAUGAUUCGCGUUCGGUACUUUGAUAAUUUGGUAUGUGGGUGGACCGGUGCUUGGGUGCUGCCCUUACUUGGACAAACAUCCCACUUGUGAUUAACCUCUAUUGCAAGCAUCCGCAAAUACAACAAAAGUAUUAAGGUAAACCUAACCAUAGCAUGAAACAUAUGGAUCCAAAUCAGCCCAUUACGAAGCAACGCAUAAACUAGGGUUUAAGCUUCUGUCACUCUAGCAACCCAUCAUCUAAUUAUUACUUCCCAAUGCCUUCCUCUAGGCCCAAACAAUGGUGAAGUGUCAUGUAGUCGAUGUUCACAUAACACCACUAGAGGAGAGACAACAUACAUCUCAUCAAAAUAUCGAACGAAUACCAAAUUCACAUGACUACUAAUAGCAAGACUUCUCACAUGUCCUCAGGAACAAAAGUAACUACUCACAAAGCAUAAACAUGUUCAUAAUCAGAGGGGUAUUAAUGUGCAAAUAGGAUCUGAACAUAUAAUCUUCCACCAAGUAAAUCAACUAGCAUCAAUUACAAAGAGUAAUCAACACUACUAGCAACCUACUAGCACCAAUCCCGGACUUGGAGAUAAGAAUUGGAUACAAGAGAUGAACUAGGGUUUUGAGAUGAGAUGGUGCUGAUGAAGAUGUUGAUGGAGAUUGCCCUCUCCCGAUGAGAGGAGCGUUGGUGAUGACGAUGGCGAUGAUUUCCCCCUCCGGGAGGGAAGUUUCCCCGGCAGAACAGCCCGGCCAGAACCCUAGAUUGGCUCUGCCAAGGUUCUGCCUCGUGGCGGCGGAGUUUCGUCCGAGAAGAUGGCUUAUGAUUUUUUCCCAUCGAAAGAGUCCAUAUAGCAGAAGAUGGUCACCGGAGGGCCACCAGGGGGCCCACGAGGUAGGGGGCGCGCCCAGGAGGGUAGGGCGCGCCCCCACCCUCGUGGGCAGGGUGUGGCCCCCCUGGUGAAGUUCUUGCACUCAAUGUUUUUAUAUAUUUGGAAAACAUCAUCCGUGAAGUUUCAGGACUUUUGGAGCUGUGCAGAAUAGGUCUCUAAUAUUUGCUCCUUUUCCAGCCAGAAUCCCAGCUGCCGGCAUUCUCCCUCUUUAUGUAAACCUUGUAAAAUAAGAGAGAAUAGGCAUAAGUAUUGUGACAUAAUGUGUAAUAACAGCCCAUAAAUGCAAUAAAUAUUGAUAUAAAAGCAUGAUGCAAAAUGGACGUAUCACGCUUCACUCCCCGACAACGGCGCCAGAAAAGAGUCUUGAUGACCCACAAGUAUAGGGGAUCUAUCAUAGUCCUUUCGAUAAGUAAGAGUGUCGAACCCAACGAGGAGCAGAAGGAAAUGAUAAGAGGUUUUCGGCAACGUAUUCUCUGUAAGCACUUAAAUUAUCGGUAACAGAUAGUUUUGUGAUAAGGUAAUUGGUGACGAGUAGCAAGUAGUAAAAGUAAAUAAGGUGCAACAAGAUGGCCCAAUCCUUUUUGUAGCAAAGGACAAGCCUGUACAAACUCUUAUAUGAUGUAAAGCGCUCCUGAGGACACAUGGGAAUUAUUGUCAAGCUAGUUUUCAUCAUGAUCAUAUGAUUCGCGUUCGGUACUUUGAUAAUCUGAUAUGAGGGUGGACCGGUGCUUGGGUGCUGUCCUUACUUGGACAAGCAUCCCACUUAUGAUUAACCCCUAUUGCAAGCAUCCGCAACUACAACAGAAGUAUUAAGGUAAACCUAACCAUAGCAUGAAACAUAUGGAUCCAAAUCAGCCCCUUACGAAGCAACGCAUAAACUAGGGUUUAAGCUUCUGUCACUCUAGCAACCCAUCAUCUACUUAUUACUUUCCAAUGCCUCCCUCUAGGCCCAAACAAUGGUGAAGUGCCAUGUACUCGACGUUCACAUGACACCACUAGAGGGAUGACAACAUACAUCUCAUCAAAAUAUCGAACAAAUACCAAAUUCACAUGACUACUAAUAGCAAGACUUCUCCCAUGUCCUCAGGAACAAACGUAACUACUCACAAAGCAUAUUCAUGUUCAUAAUCAAAGGGGUAUUAAUAUGCAUAAUGGAUCUGAACAUAUAAUCUUCCACCAAGUAAACCAACUAGAAUCAAUUACAAGGAGUAAUCAACCCUACUAGCAACCCACAGGUACCAAUCUGAGGUUUGGAUACAAAGAUUGGAUACAAGAGAUUAACUAGGGUUUGAGAUGAGAUGGUGUUGGUGAAGAUGUUGAUGAAGAUUGACCCCCUCCUGAUGAGAGGAUCGUUGGUGAUGACGAUGGUGAUGAUUUCCCCCUCCUGAAGGGAAGUUUCCCCGGCAGAACAGCUCCGCCAGAGCCCUAGAUUGGUUCCUCCAAGGUUCCGUCUCGUGGCGGCGAAGUCUCGUCCCGAAAGCUUGCUUAUGAUUUUUUCCUCAACGAAAGACUCCAUAUAGCAAAAGAUGGUCAUCGGAGGGCCACCAGGGGGCCCACGAGGCAGGGGGGCGCGCCCAGGGGGGUAGGGCGCGCCCCCACCCUCGUGGCUGGUGGCCCCCCUCUGGUACUUCUUGCGCUCAAUAUUUUUUAUAUAUUCUGGAAAUAACUUCCGUGAAGUUUCAGGACUUUUGGAGCUGUGCAGAAUAGGUCUCUAAUAUUUGCUCCUUUUCCAUCCUAGAAUCCUAGUUGUUCACUCUCCUUCUUUCGGAGCAGGCCUUUCUUGAGCCCAAUCAACUCGGUGAUAUCAUGGGAAACCUCCAAGUCAACCCUCAAGGUAUGGAUCAAUGGUCUUGGAGACAUGGCAAGUCUCUGAAUAUACUGCUAAAAAAGUACUACACUUUUUUCAUCAGCCAACUACAACCAACCCAGUAUUGACUUGGACAUGGAAGAGUUGUUGCACCAUGUCAAUCAAGAUGUUUGUUUGACUGGUAAUUAUGGACAGAGUUAAAACCAAAGAUAUGAUACAAGGUAGACAUUGGAGAAUUGAUGAUGGCCCACAAUGUGUCUUGUGCCCAACUUUUGCCUUAGAGGAUAGAAAUCACCUAUUUUUUCAAUACUUUGGUGUGAGGAUAUGGAACUAUCUGCAAAUUUUUUGUCCGAACAACCAAUACAUGGUGCAAAUUGCCAUUGGUACAAGGAAGGACUUUAACAAACCGUUCUUUUCAAAGGUAGUCUUUCUAGCCUGGUGGAUUAUUUGGAAGAUCAGAAAUGACAAGGUAUUCAGACACAUCAUGCCAUCCUUUGGCCAUUGGAGAAGUGGAUUCAUCCAUGACAUCACAUUGCUCACACACAGGAGAAGAUGCACUCCAUAGAUGGACAAAUUUUUACUCCUUAGGUUUUAGAGGUAGUUUGCUUUCUGUUUCCUUUUUCUUUUAUAGUUUUGUCAUUUUUUUGUUCCUCUUCUUGAGGAACUUGCACAAUAAUAUUCUUUGUUCUUUUAUCAAUAAAAUGUUGUUGGGUGUAAGCCCUGUAGUUUCCAUGGUAAAAAAAUCAUGAUGAAUGGCAUGCUUGCCAUCACAAGGCCACACCUUUGCUGAAUUUGGUCCUUUGGAGGGAGUCUAUUCGAAUCGAGUUGCCAUAGAAAGAUGUUGGUUAUGAGUCGAAUCAACCAGUUUCAAACGUCACGAAAGUAGAGAAGCAACACUCUCUAACACAGUUGGGUGUAGUCGAUUCGAUAUAGUAAUAGCCACUUAGAGAUGUCACUCAAGAGUUGGACCAGUCCAGUUAGGCAUAUGACUUCUUCCACUUCUAUUCUAAAGUGUGUGUAAAUUUUAACACUCCAUCUGUUUUAAAAUACUUCACACACUAAUUUUUUUAGAACAAGCAUUUGACCGCAUUUACUCUGUUAGUAUAUAUUUUAUGCGAAACACAAUUGAUGUCCUUAAAUCCGGAUUCCAAACUGCCUGUUUGUAGUUACAAUUUUGUCUCACAAAAUUUACAUAUCAACAAUGUAAUUGACUGUCAAAGGCUUGUCCUAAUAAAAGCAAAUAUGUGAAGUACUAUUUUGAAAUGGAUCAUUGGAAGAUGAGAUAAUUGCACAAACCACCAACUAUUGUUGUUGAUUUUCCAGAGUACCUAUUUUAUGGUUUUGUUGCACAAAACACCGCAUAUUGGUGCAAUAUGUUGCAGCUAAGUAUAAUCCAGCAUUUAGGUAGGUUUACAUGGUUUGUGACAAGUGGAUCUCAUUGGUAAGUACAUGGGUGGCAAAAAAAUAGGCCGCAUUAGUAGGCCAACUAAAAAAAACCUUUGGUCCAAUUUUGUUGAAAAUUUCCAGGAUAAAUAUUGAGUACAGUAUGAUGGCGUCGUAUCUUAUGCAUCCGGUAACCCUCGUGCAUCCCUGUAGCCGGUCGUCCUCGUUCGUCCGAUCCUAAUCCUCGUCCUCCCGUGAGUUGGCUCUUAUUUUGCAGAAAAAUGCCCGCUUGUGCCCUUGUAUUUAGACUCUCAUCACAAAUUUACCGUUAUCUGCAAUGUAAUCUCCUUGAUACAUCUGACAACUUUUAGAAAAUUCACACGUCUAACAAGGGCACAGGCGGGCGUUUUUCUGCAAAAUAAGAGCCAACUCACGGGAGACGAGGAUUAGGAUCGGACGAACGAGGACGAGCGGCUACAGGGAUGCACGAGGGUUACUGGAUGCAUAAGAUACGACGUCCAGUAUGAUUUACUAUCUUUUUUCUUUUUACUAAAAAUAUUAAAUUAAAAAAAGACAAGCUAACUAACAUUCCCAUGCUAAUCUCGUCGAUCGAUGGCCUGCUUUUUUGUCAUGCGUGCACUUACAAGCGGGAUCCACCUAUAAGAAAUCAAAUUAACAUACCCAUCGUUGGAUUAGACCAAGCUACAACGGAUUACACCAAUAUAUGACGUUUUGUAUGGACGUGGAGUAUUUGCAACGAAAAUUCCAGGAAGUUAUUUUAUCACGAAAAUUUCAGUUUAUUUACCAUUUUUCUUCUUCAGAUUUUACUGUUCAUUAGGAAGUAUGUGAGCCCGGGAUCAAAAGAGCACUGUCGGUUUUGUACAACAAAUCCAUAGAAUAGUUGUCUCCGUGCAAAAUCAUCACCAACAGUUAGUGAUUCGUGCAAUUUUCUCUUACAAGGAAUUUAUGUAACCCAUGUGUCCCAAACAGGACCUUAAAUGCGGUUCACUUUCAAUGAGAAUCUAAAAACCAUCGACGAAAAGAGAGAGACAGAGAGGGGAGACUGGAUCUGGUCAUGUGGUCCGCACGUGGUGCCACCUCACCAGUCCCCCCUCCGCGAGCCAAACCGCUCGCUCCACUCCACCACCAUUCGCACCCGCCUCCCGGUUUUGACGCUCUCUCCUCUCCCCAUUCCACUACGCCCCGAACAUCCCACCUCCUCCCGACACGCAACGACGGAACGGAGCCAAUUUCCUUCCCCGCCUCCGGAUGUCCCUGCCCCUGCCCCGUCCUCUCGUCUCUCGAUCUGAUCGAGGCCACGGCCCGGCGGGAAUGGCGGCCGAGUCGUCGGCGGCGGCCGGCAUGCGCAAGGCGCCCUCCAUGGAGUGGCGCUGGGUGUCCGCGGGGGAGGAGGAGGACGACGAGCUGGAGGGCCGCGGGGCGGGGGGCCCCGCGGCCGUCGGGGCGGCGGGCCGGGGCGGCAGCUUCGAGUCCGAGUCCGAGGACGACAACGUCGACUACGAGGACGAGGACGAGGAGCAGAGGGAGGCCCGGCAGCGCCUGAUCCGCACCGUGCCCACCGUCGACUGGUUCGACGUCGAGGGCAACGAGGUCUCCGGCGCGCAGCCGCUCGAGGACCCCGAGGUGAGCGCGCGCUCUGUUUCCCCUCCUGGUCUCGUGUCGUUCGAUUGCGUAUGCGGCGAGGUGUUCGACGCACGCUGCUCAUGCCGCGCGCGUGGAAUGCCGUGAGAGUGGUGACCAGACCACCGACCGGUGCGAUUUUGGUUAGCUUCGGCGUUUGCCCAUUGGAUUGGAGAAGUGCGAAUCUGCACAUCCUUGUGGUUCAGGAUGGCCGUGCUUGGAUGAGGGGAUGCAUAUGUUGCGUUCGAUCAGAAACAUCAAUUGUUUUGUUCCUUCAUCCAAAUUUUGUUUGCAUAACAUUGUGACUGGUAAUCAGGAUGCGGCGGGAAUGGUGAUUACGUGCGCUCAUGUUAUUUGUGACCGUUUUCUUGUGCAUAAAUCGGAACAAUAGUUAUCAGAUGAGUUAAUUUCGUAUCACUUACAUGUAGUGCUGAUAUUUCUGCGACCCAUCACCCACCCCAAUCUGCUCAUACAAGACAUAACUUGUACAUAAAAGUGAAUCAGUAAACUGCUAUACUAAUCUUGCCGGAGACAAUGUUUGCCUCCAUCUGUUAUGUAAAUCAGACCACUUCUCUUCCAUAAAAGUUUAGAUUCUUUCGGUGUACGUUCAAUGCAGGAACCUCUUCCAGCUCCGUGGGUGGUUAAAGCGAGAAUACGGGCAAUCAUCAAAUUUCAAACGUCAUAAUUAAAGAUACCUUGUCCAACGCAAGUACCUCUUUCUAGGUGGUCUAAGAACUUAUAUAGGCACUUGUAGUCUCUCCAAUGCAAAAGUCCAUUCCUAGUAAAAAAUUGUCUAUGCUUGCUAUCGAAGAUUUAAAGCAGGUAUUGAACAAAUCUGCCCAACUAUAAACUUCCAACAUGAAAACGAGAUUCCAAUUCAACACCAAAGACCUCGAAGAGUCACAUUUUCUCCCUUUCAAAUUAGAGAAUUCGAUUUCUCCUUGAACAUAUUUUUUUGCUGGCAAGCUAUCAGACCUCGGAGAGUCACAUUUUAUCCCUUGUUUCAAAUUAGAGAAUUGGAUUUCUCCUUGAACAUAAUAUUUUGGUGACAAGCUACACCCAGAUGCAUGCAAAGUUCCCUAGUAAAAAGGAUGAAUUCAAAGUGCUUAGUGAUGCCAUCUCAAGGCCCCCCUCCCCCUUACGACCUAAUAUUACCACCCUGCUGUCCUGCAUAGCAAACAAAAUCUUUUACUUUUUACCUUCAUCAUUCCAAGCAACCGCAUUGCAGACAGUUCAGGGCAUUUUCGAUGCAGUAGUAGAAUAGAUGGGUGUUAGUACGAAAGCUAAAAUUAUAGGCUACUGUUAUGGUUUUUAACAAUUUAUCAGGUCGGUGUGCGAAUAACGUCACCUUUUUUUUCGAGUGACUUCAUCUAUUGAGUAACCAUAACUGAAGUCAUAUCAUCGGAAGAAAUGUAUAUUUUCCCAGGAGGGAGAUGUGUUUAAUUAUGAGAUGAACCAUAAGAGUUGAAAAUUUCAUCAGCAGAAUAUCUUUGUGGAGAUCGAUCUAUGGGAUAGUCUUUGUUGACAGUUGUAUGAAAUUAAAUGCAUGUAGAUAGUAAUGUCCUCACCGUUUAAAUAAAGAAUAUAUAUUUUCUUAUCAUGUUUCCUUCAUUAUCUGGCGCAUGGUUCAGUUAUUUCAUUUACAUGUGCAGGAGUUUGAUUUUGGCAGGACAGUAUUUCUUGCUCUUCAGACUCUUGCUGUGGUUUUCGGAGAUAUUGGAAUAAGUCCACUGUAUACAUUUGAUGUCAUGUUCAACAAGUACCCUAUUCUUGAGGAGGAGGAUGUUCUGGGAGCACUCUCACUAGUUCUGUAUACUCUGAUUUUGAUGCCAUUGGUGAAGUAUGUCUUGGUUGUCCUUUGGGCUAAUGAUGAUGGUGAAGGUAUAUUCGAGGUUGUGAAUUGAGUUAAUAAGGUAAAAAAAAAUUAUACAGGGAUAUGUUACAGGCUUAACAUCCUUCAAUUAUUUUAUGACUCCACAGGUGGUAUAUUUGCCAUGUAUUCUUUAAUUUGUAGAAAUGCAAAAGUGAGUCUCAUUCCAAACCAAGUACAAGCUCAGCCUGAGAAGAGGAUGUCAAGUUUCCGUCUCAAGCUUCCCACAGAUGAGCUUGAGAGGUCCAUAAAAGUAAAGGAGAAACUUGAAUCUUCACUCAUGAUGAAGAAGUUACUUUUAGGCUUAGUACUAUUUGGGACUGCCAUGUUUAUAUCCAAUGGAGUUAUCACACCAGCAAUGUCAGGUUUGUUUCUUCUUCUUGACACACGUUCAGUGGUACAUCAUAAAGAAUUGAAGAACAAAACAUGUUUAUUUUCUUUACAAGUGUAGUUUAUGCGGACUAUUUUCCAAUAAUUUUUUAUCAUUGAAUAGUGCUGUCUGCUGUCAGCGGCUUGAAAGUUGGGAUACCAAAGGCCUCACAAGGUGAAGUUCCUUUUAUUUAAUGGAACAAAAGUAAGCUAUUUAUUUUAUAAUUUAUGCUAGUUUCUCUUCCUAAUUCCAUCAAACGUUAUUUGCAGAUGUUGUGGUGAUGAUUUCAAUUGCACUUCUUGUUGUCCUGUAUAGUCUACAGAGAUAUGCCACUAGCAAAAUAGGAUUUAUAGUUGGCCCUUGUUUGCUGAUAUGGUUUUGCUGUCUUGGAGGAAUUGGCAUAUGCAAUCUCAGUAGAUAUGGAUCGGGAGCUUUUAAGGCGUUUAAUCCUCUAUACAUUUUUUAUUAUUUUGGGAGGAAUCCCUUUCAGGCCUGGCUCUCCCUUGCUGGUUGUCUUUUGUGUGCAACAGGUAAACGUCAGUUUACCUCUAAUCAGUUAGUACCAUUUGAUUUGCUACACAACCUUAUGUUCUUACUGUCAAAGUGCACCUCUUUCUUUUGAUUUCUGUUGUGUACUUUGCUGGUGCGCUUUAACUUUGAGACAAUUUUUAUGAUGUAUUGGAAGGGGAGCCUUGGCACAGCGGUAAAGCUGUUGCCUUGGAAACAGCCUCUUGCAGAAAUGUAGGGAAAGGCUGCGUACAAUAGGCCCAAAGUGGUCGGACCCUUCCCCGGACCCUGCGCAAGCGGGAGCUACAUGCACCCGGCUGCCCUUUUUUAUUUAGAUUGUCUGUUGUCUCACAAUGCAGUCUGUUGGUUCAGAACUUUUUUUUUAAGUGUCUUGGUAAAAAAAAAAGAAACUGAUUUGUUUACCAACUAUACUGCAGGAUCUGAGGCUAUCUUUUCAAAUCUUUGCCACUUUCCUGUACGAUUUGUUCAGGUAUUAUCAUUAGUUUAUGGAAGUGUUACUUCUAUUUUGAACUUUAUGCAGAUGAUGUUCUAUAUAUACCUAACAUUUCUUAUAAAUUCUUAGUCAUUCAGACUCAGUAUUAGUUUUAUAUAAAAUUUCAGAUCUGCUUAAUGUAUCCACUACUCAUCCACUCUUGAUUAUAUUUAUAUCCAGCAUGUUUCUCCUUUGCAGUUUAUGUUUGUUCUUCUUGUUCUUCCUUGCCUUGUCUUGGCCUAUUUAGGACAAGCUGCUUUCCUCAUUGCAAACGAAAAGACACCUGAACAUAUCUUCUUUGCAUCUAUUCCAGGUAAGUUGGAUGUGGCUGAAUAUGCCUGUGUUUUUCAUUUUCUUAUGAAUGAACCCCAUCAGCAGUUCUUCCAUAUGUGAUGUGAAUAUUCUAUUUGCGAUUACUGACUUGUUACACUGUAUUCUCUAUGCAGGGAAUGUUUUCUGGCCUGUUUUCUUGCUUGCUAAUUUAGCUGCACUGAUUGCCAGUAGGACAAUGACGAUUGCUAUAUUCCAAUGCCUAAAGCAGUCCAUAUCACUUGGUUGCUUUCCUCGGCUCAAAAUUGUCCAUACAUCUCGAAAAUUUAUGGCUAAGAUAUACAUUCCAGUCGUAAAUUGGUUUCUGCUGGCUUCCUGUUUGGGCUUUAUUCUGCUCUUCCGAAGCACAUCUGAUGUCGGGAAUGCAUAUGGUAAUAGUAUUGCACUGGAUAUGCUAUUAUGUUUAACUCCUGCUUAUGCAAUAUGCUGUAAUGCUUCAGUAUUCUGCACUCUUACACUGUUCCAUCUUGAACAGCCAUAGCUGAACUUGGGGUGAUGAUAAUGGCCACGGUCUAUGUUACACUGAUAAUGCUUCUAAUAUGGGAAACCAAUAUUAUUAAGGUCGUGUCAUUCCUUAUCACAUUCCUAUCCUUGGAGCUGAUUUUCUUCUCAUCAGCUCUGAGUAGUGUUGGGGAUGGAGGUUGGGCACUGUUGGUCUUUGCAUCUGGUCUUGUCAUGAUUAUGUUCAUCUGGAACUACGGAACCAAACUGAAGUAUGACAGUGAACUCAAACAGAAGCUUUCAAAAGAUCUAAUGAGAAAACUGGGGCCCAACCUUGGCACAAUGAGAGCGCCUGGACUAGGCUUGGUGUACAGUGAGAUAGUGACAGGAGUUCCUGCAAUUUUUGGUCAUUUUCUGACCGCCCUCCCUGCUAUCCACUCAAUAAUCGUAUUCGUGUGCGUCAGGAAUGUGCCAGUGCCUGCGGUUCCCCAAAGUGAAAGGUUUCUUUUCCAGCGUGUUUGUACAAGGGGCUAUCACAUGUUUCGCUGUAUUGCCAGGUAUGUACAUGGACUCUAGUUNNNNNNNNNNNNNNNNNNNNNNNNNNNNNNNNNNNNNNNNNNNNNNNNNNNNNNNNNNNNNNNNNNNNNNNNNNNNNNNNNNNNNNNNNNNNNNNNNNNNNNNNNNNNNNNNNNNNNNNNNNAUAGGUUUUAGCACUACCAAAUGCAGGGUAUGAAUGCGAUUUUCUCCAUUCGUGCCAUUUUCGCCCAUUACUACUGAAAAUAUCACACAGCCAGUUAGUGGUCCUACUAGCUCGAAAUGGUAGGUUCCAUAUUAUGCUCAACUCUCGUACAACCGCAAAUAAUACAGAAAAUGUAUAGACCAAAAUGAAAUAAGAAAUGCCAAAUCAGAAUAGUCUAAUAACUGGUCGGUAAGCGCCUGGUUACCAGAGUCUUGCUCCGUUUAAAAAAAAUGAUUUGCUUUGAUCCAUGAUUAUUCCUACACUAAUACAUUUGUUACCAAUGGGUUUGACAUUACUUCUUUUGCUUGGGAGAAUUACAAAUUUCGGUAGAACGCAAAAGUACUGUGAUUUUAAUGAAUUAGUCGUAUAGUUUGUUGUGCCACCAUAUCUUGUAUCUUCAUGUACAUUGAUGAGCAAUGAUUGAUUGUUUUUUAAUUGUCAUGCAAAGUUGGUGUACAUACCAUUAAGUAUAAACUGUUGGUGAGAUUCUGAGAGCUUGCUUGAGUCUAUGGAAUCAACUCUAAAAUUUUCUUAUGAUGCUAACUUGAUAAUGCACAGAUACGGAUACAAAGACAAGAAACAGGAGCACCAUAACACAUUUGAGCGCCUUCUGAUAGAAGGCCUUGAAAAGUUCAUACAGCGGGAGGCUGUAGAGUUGUCCCUACAGAGUGAAGAUGAUGUCGACUCCGAUGAGGAGCCUUCAACCCCUGGACAGAUAAUCACUGCGCCAAACGGCAGCCUCUACUCACUCGAUGCCCCUCUCCUGGUGGACUUUACACCUUCAGUAGACACGAUUCCUGAAACACCCAGUUGCUCAACGCCUCAAGAUCCCUCGUUGGAUUACACACAGAACCUUGAGCUGGAGCUCGCAUUCAUCAAGCAGGCGAAGGAAUCUGGAGCCGUGUAUCUCAUCGACAACCCCAUUGUCAAAGCCAGGAAGGACUCGUGGUUCUUCAAGAAGUUGAUCAUAAACUAUUUUUUCGCGUUCCUGAGGAACAACUGCCGCAGGGCGAUUGUGUCGAUGAGCAUCCCACACUCGAACCUGCUGCAGGUGCGCUUGACCUCUUAUGUCUGAACGCGGAACCUACUGCUUCAGCACAGUUGUUUUGUUCAUGGCAAUCUACUUAUCCAGUAGAGAUCACACUAACCAUAUAUAAAGGAACAACAAUGGUGAUUGUCGGAAGGCAAAUGCUUAACUUUCCUGGCUUUAUUCAGAAGGUGAUGGCUAGGACAGUAGGAGCCCAUGUCUCCUGUAAGUUUUGUACCGCGUCGAAACGCAGCCGGCAUUGUGGCAGCAGGCAGGCACAUCACACGAUGAUGUAUUUAACCUGUAUAUUUCCCUUGUGCAGCAGAUUGCUGUGUGCUCCUUCGGUUCUGUGGGGCCAGUUUUGUUGUUUGCAAAAUGCAGAGUGCUAGCUGAGAAGGAUCAUUAGGUCAUAUAUAUUACAUAUACAUAUGUACAUUUUUACGGCCAUCGAGCAGUGCUGUUGCUUUAUCCUUACCUUUUCUUAUCUGCACUUAUUGGGGUUUUUAUAGUCUGGCUUCAGUUUCUGUACCCAAAUGCAGCCCUGCAAGGACUGAAUGAAUUUUAUUACUUACUCCCUCCGAUCCAUAUUAAUUGUCAUAGACUUAGCACAAUUUUGGUACAAUUUUGUACUAAAUCUGCGACAAUUAAUGUGGAUCGGGGGGAGUAUGUUUUAGUUUUCGUGUUUUAAAUUAGUGACGAGUGUGUGAAUAUGUGUUUUGUCCUUUCCACUGGCGAUGGUGUCAUCCUUGUGGCGUCUGUAGUUUGUCCUUUCUUCGUGGCACCUUUUUUUAACUUGGAACAUUUCAUUAUUCCAUUAAUCAGUGUGUUGAGCAGAAUCGCUGGCAACAAGAAGGUGGGAGAAGGUAGGGGCAAAGACCUGGCCAUUCGGCUGAAGGUGUCAUGCUCGCUGCAUGUCUCUCUUCCUUGCCCCAAUUUCUCAACCGGUGUCCAACAUUAACUUUUUCUGGUGUCCAAGCCCAAAAUAUAGACUACAUAUAACGAAAACCAAAUUUCUACCAGGUGUCACCGCUGGGACAACAUAGGUCUGCCCUGGGAAAGUAUCUGAUGCACCGAUGCUUGUGGUGCUACUGCUGCACCGGAAGUCGUAGCGUGUUAAUAAAUGUUUCAAAAAAUCUGCAAAAAAUGUAGCACAUUGACACAACAUUGGUCUAUGUUGUUGCAAGAGUUCAAAUCAGAAUUCAAAGCAUUGGAGGAGAUACAAAAAUGACAAUUUUAGCAUCAAUGUGAUAAUGGGCCAAAUUUAAAGCCCAACUUCUGUUGUGUACUAUUCAGUGUGGAUUUUGUGAUUUUUGUACCUUGAGAAAUAUUUCAAAUUUUGAGUUGAAUUUUUGCGACAGCAUAGACCAAUGUUGUGUGAAUGCGCUAAAUUCUUUUCAAAAAAAAAUCAAGCAUUUUUGAACAUGCUACGGGCGUCCGGUGCACCGGUAGCACCACAAGCACCGGUGCACCCGAUACUUUCCCGGUCCGCCCCAACCCGAGGCAAAGGAGUCAUGGGCCUGCGCGGUAGCCAUCCCUGAAGCAUUUUAUUUUUUCGAAGAACCUCUUUGAGAGGGCAAACGGUUCCAGAAUUUCCAUAAGAAGAAUAUAAUUGGUCCAGUUUAUAAGAAAAACCGAACCCAAAAACCUACAUAGUUGAUUCGGUUUAUAAGAAAAAUCGAAUCCAAAAACCUAUCAAAGCUCGGUUAAUUGGAGUGAAACCAGGCGAAAAUCGCCUACACCUAGCUACAGACACAAAACCAGACAAACUAGGGCGGGAGGGCUGCGACAAUUGAACUAACACCACUAAGGAGCACCGUAAACUGCCAAUACCUCGCCGCCAGAGAGUGAGAGGACACCAUCGAAGGGAAGCGGUCUUGGGCCUCCUUGAACCUUAGAGGACGACAAGCCACCAUACUCCGCAGCAUCGCUACUCCAUCUGUGACCGCACCUGAAGCCACCAUCCCGUCUCAUAAUGCUAACAUGGGAACAUGCGACAACCAUGUGGUCAUAAUCCCAACGGAGGGAACGACGUCAAAGAUGCUGCUAUAGUCUGCCCCGGCUAGCCGGGUCAAGCUUUUCACCCGGAGUAAUGGACCCCAGAUGGUAGAAAAAGUGGGAAUGCUUAAGGACGAUGCCACCAAAGAGGGAAUGGCACGAAGGGCAUCGCCGUCAUCAGCAUCGACAAAGUCGGGCACCUUUGUCUGAAGCCACAAACACCGCGGAAGCCGAACAACUUGAAAAACACUUUCCACUUUCUCAGGUGUUGUAGGACUAGGUGACAUAUUUGUUUCAUGUUCAACCAAAUGCUAUGGUUAACCCAAUGCCAUCUCUAAAGUUCCAUAGUGCCCAUGGGACUACAAACGGCGCCAGAUUGAAAUCUGAAUAUCGCUUGCUACAAGCUCCGAAGAAGGCAUUAGAUUCGAUCAGUGACGAUGAAAGGUCCAUAGGUAAAUAGUGGCCUAGUACUGAUUUGUGGGUGAGGUUUUCCAUAGGGUGUAUUUCCAAGAUGAGCAAAGGGUUGAUGUUUGGAUGAUGAUGAUGAUGCAUAUUGGAAGAGUAUUAGAAGGGUCGGUGCAAGCUUGGGCGGUUGGACUCCAUAUAGGCCUCAUCUUGGAUGAAUUUAAGGAUGGCAGUCUGCUUCGCCAUCUUCGCUGCCUGGGCGACCUCGAAUUCCGCCAUGGCGUUCUCCAUGGCAAAGCCUGCGGUCUCUGCUCCUCCGACUCCGCCGCGUCGUCCGCUUCCAGAUCCUCCUCCUCCUCCAUGGGUGGGGGUCCUAAUCCGCUUCCUUUUGCUGCCACGCUUCCUCCUCCUUUUCCUCUGGCUCUGGCGAAUUCGGAGGCAGACCGAUAGUGACACGAGCGGCGCGCCUGGCCCGGAUAUCCUCCUCGAGCUACAAUCGACGUGCCGGCAUCGACAUUGGAUAGGUGGUGAUCCUCUCCCGGGCCAUGGCUAGCGGCUACAGGGCGGAUGGAAGUUGCGGCGCGAGUGGGAAGGAAUGGGGAGGCUAGGGUUUCACUGCCACUGUUCGGCUUAAAUAGAUAGACUUGCUCCCUCGGGCGGCAUGCCGGAGCGACGCCACGCGGCACCAUGAAUGCAUUCACACCGAGAACUGGAGGAGGCGUCCGUCGGACCGACGCCACGCGGCACCAUGAAUUCAUCCACACCGAGAACUGGAGGAAGCGUUCGUCAGACCGCCGGUCUCUGCGUGUGAUGCGUGGGCUCUUGUGAUCAGUCCGGCAUGACGGGCGCGUUCAGGCAUCCUCAUAUCCGCCCUAGAUAUGAACUAGGUAAGAGGAGUGCCUAUCAAUCCAGUUGUUUGGGUCGGAUAUGGGGUGUUGAGUGACGUUUUUUCUGGCAGCCCGUCUGGACAUUUGCGACGGGCAUGAGAUGUUCAGUUGUAGAUGCUCUUAGCACAACUUUUGACCAACGUUGUAGCUCUUAUACAAAGCAUACAUCAUUAAUUAUGAGAUCCACAAAACAGACACUCGCAUGCACAUCAUGCAUGUUCAAUAUCCAAUCGGCGAACUGAAAAGCUGAUACGCAAAUGUUGAGCUCAUUUGCUCACAUCCUCAACCGCGGCGGUGACGUCGUCGGCGACGCCCUGCGCGGCGUCUUUGGUGGCGUCCCACGCCUCCUCCGUCGCCUGCUUGGCCUUCUCGCCGAGGUCCUUGGCUCCCUCCACCGCGCCCUCCACCGCCUCCUGAACCUUGCCCGCCGCGUCGCCCGCCGCCUUCGACACGCUGUCCGCCCCUUCCGAGGCCUUGUCUCCGGCCUCCCCGGCCGCCCCCUUCACGGUCUCGACGGCGUCGUUAGCCUGACGCACGAAUGAACCAAUGAACAGUCAGCAUACGUAACAUCGCAAAGAACAAACACCAGAGUGUGGUAGUAAUAACAUCAAGUGCACGUACGGGAGUCGCCCUAGGAGGGGUUUGCAGGCAGAGGCGGCCGCCGCUGACGGUGUGGGGACGAGCGGCGAGGAAGCACGGCCUGGGAAGAGCCUUGCCGGCGGCGGCGCCGGUGAAGGCGGCGGCGCCCGCGCCUCCUCCGAGCAGCACGGAUGAGGAAGCCAUCGAUCUGGGUCUGGUGGUCGGUGGAGGAGCUGAGAUGGAUGUAUGAGCUACUUUGCACUUGCGGUAGUACGGUGGGAGGACGAGAGGUGCAGUGCCGGUUUUGUAGGCCGGGGGUGGACGGAGGGGGCCACGGGGAUCGCUGCGGGCGCAUGGCGACACGGGGUGGUCGACAGGGUUGUGUGGUGCGGCGGUGCGUGCGUGACUGUCGACCGUUUGUGUGGCGCGCGCGGUAGCCAUGCUCGUGAAGGGUUUGCCGAGAGAAGAAAGAGAAACGAAUCUUAAUCUGCCCAUGCCUGCCGACCUCACGUACCUUUAGGCCUGUUUGGGACGGAUCGAAAAAACCAAAUCCUGGUGUACACGGUUGAAGUUGAAGGUCACAUACAUCCGAGCAAGAGAUAUUAACUUGCCAGAGGUGUCAUCACUCAUCGCCGGUCUCGGUGUGCUCAACUCGAUCGCAGAUUGUAGAUUUUGAAAGCAUAAAACUGCAAAUACGAAUUAGCAAAACCAUUAGUUAUCAACGAGGUUUAACGUACGUAUACGCACUCAAGCAGUGGCGGAGCUUGGCCUCGAAAGCUGGACAGGCCGACAGUAGAAAAUAAUUAUUGGGAUUGUGUUUCAUGGCCGAAAACGAAAUAUGCACUUAAAAAAAUAGCAUGGGCUGGGCGGGGCACGACCCUUUCAGCCUUGCCUUAGCCAACUUACUCAUCAGUGUUUUUUUUUUCAAGUUUUGGUCAAAUUUGAGAUGAAAAUUCAAAGUUAACAGUCAAAUGAAAAUGUUCUAGUAAACCAAGAUAUUUCCAGUUAGUAUUCUGGAAAAGUUUUAGCUACAUUCUUUCCUUGGCCAUUGAGGAGUUUGGACUAUGCUUAUCAAAUUUCUACCAAAUUUGAGGUGCAAAUUCAAUGUUUACUGGAAAAAGGAUUUUUUUUAGUAAAUCAAUCGAAGGUCCUUAGUAUUCUUGAAGAAUCUAAGCUCAUCUAUCCAGAUAUUUAGGGCUUUCAAAUGUUUUUUUAUUUUUAUUUUGUCGUAUUUGAAGUGAAAAUUAAAAGUUCUAAGAGAGACAAAAAAAUAUCUAGUCAGAGUCGUUGUCUUUACUCUUUAGACACUUACAAGCGGGACUCAUGCACACGAUUUAGUGUCAAGCGGCAUUACGACUAUGUUUUUCUAGUGGUUACUCCUAGAAUUAGUUAUGUGUUAAAAUCCCAUAGAGUUCUAAUUAUGUGGUAUGUUUGAAAAAACGAGUUAUAAGUUUAAUAUUUCUUCCAUUAUCUGAACUAUUUGUUGCAUAAUGACUCUUCACAUCAUAUUUGGUUUUUGAUGUUUUACCCAAUUGUUUCAAUUUUGCAACAUAUAUUACUAGAAAUUAGACCAAUAUCAUUGUUGUAGAUUCUUACCCUUCUCAUAAUUGCUCUAACUAGUAAGAUAUAGAGUGUGACAUGAAUAUCUCUAUCCAGGAGUGUGUCGAGAACCGCUAGUUGUUUCACACUCUCUGGGCUCCAACAGUUGGUUACCGUUCUAGUGUAGGGAGAGCUUGGAUGCACGCGGACCUAGCGACUCUCCCUGGUCUUUUACCGGACGGAGAUGGAUCGGGGCCGGAGGUAUUGAGGCCUUUCUUGGCCAAUGUUUUGCAACGAGAUGGCUUUUGUUGUCUUCCAUGAGCCAAUCCUAAGCAUCGAGGGGGUGAUGUCUGUCCUAUUCCCAAUUGGAAAGUAUCUUAUGUCUUAUUUUACCUUUAGCUUCCUUCGUGAUGGAAGAAGACAUCUUGUGGGCUGUAACGAUGUUGUAUGUAAAUUCUCUUGGUUUUCCUCGUGUGUAGUAAGUAUGCUUCAUCUAUAUUUUAAUGGAAAUACAUGAAAAAAAAUUGCACAUGAAAAUUCAGAAAUGUGCAAUUCUUAAAGCCAAUUAUAUCAAUGUUUAGCCAGCAAAAAGUUGUAAAUCAACGAAUUGACAUAGAGUCCAAUACUCUAGGUGAAGGGAUAAAAACCAUAGUGCUAAACUUCAGAUGUGAUGCAAAGCAUAACGAAAUUUAUACGUACAUAUUAUUUGCCGAAUACAACCAUACAACAAGAGGCAAAGCAGCGCCGUCUUUCUCUUAGUUAUUAAAUCUACUUUGGUUAUUUUGAACUAAGAUUAAUGUGGCAAUAAAUGUCUGAGAUAGACGUGUUCGUUCCUAUACUUAACAAUGAACAACAUUGUGAUUCACACUAGAUUUAGUAAAUCAAUCAAUGAUCAUUAGUAUUCUUGAAAAAACUAAGCUCAUUUGUCAAGAUAUUUAAGGCUUUAGAACGUUUUUGAAAAUUUUGGCCAUAUUUGAAGUGAAUAUUUUUAGAGAGACAAAAAAUAUAGUUGAGUUGUUAUCUUUUGACACUUACAUGUGGGGCUCAUGCACUAGAUUUUGUGUGAACCAGCUAGACCUGACGACUCUGUUUUCCUAGUGAUUACUCCUAGAACUGGUUAUGUGUUAAAAUCCUCUAGAGUACUAGAUAUGUAGUAUGUUUGGAAAAAAGAAUUAUAAGUUUAAUAUUUCCUCCAUUAUAUGAACUACUCGUUGCAUAAUGACUCUUUACAUCAUAGUUGUUUCUUGUGUUUUAAUUUUGCAACAUAUAUUAUAGAAAUUAGACCAAUAUCAUUGUUGCAGAUUCUUACCCUUCUCAUAAUUGCUCUAACUAGUCAUGCACAGAGUGAGUACCUCGGAAGUGUGUCAAGAACCACUAGUUGUUUCACACUCUCUGGGCUCCAACAACUGGUUGCAACUCUAGUGUAGGGAGAGAGCUUGGAUGCACGUGGACCUAGAGGCUCUCCCUGGUCGGUUAAUGGAGGGAGACAUAUCGAGGGCAGAUGCAUUGAGGCCUUUCUUGGAUAAUGUUUUACAACGACAGUGCUUUUGUCGCUCUCUCGGGAGCCAAUCCAAAUCAUCAAGGGGGUCAUGUAUGUCCUAUUCCAAAUUGGAAAUUAUCCGACAUCUUAUUACCUUUAGCCCUAACAUCUAGUGUCCCCUAACGAUGUUGUACGUAAAUUCUCAUGGUUUUCCUCAUGUGUAGUUAGUAUGGUUCAUCCAUGUUUUAAUUGAAAUACGUGAAAAAAUUCACACACAAAGACAAAAAUGUUCAAUUAUUAAGGCCAAUUAUAUCAAUGUUUGGCCAACAAAAAGUUGUGCACUAAUAGAAUCAACAAAUUGACAUAUAGCUCAAUACUCUAGGUAAAGGGCUAAAAACAUAGUGCUAAAAAUCAGAUGUGAUACAACACAUCUAAAGAAAAUUCAUACAUAUCAUUUGAUGAAUACAAACAUACAACAAGAGGCAAAACAAUGUCAUCUUUCUAUUAGUUCUUAAAUCUAUUUUGGUUUUUAAGCUAAUAUUAAUGUGUCAUCAAAUGUUCAACAUGGACACAUUAGUUCCUAUAUACUUAAAAGUGAAAAAUACUAUGACUCGACUAGAUUUAUUAAAUCUAUCAAGGGUCCUUACUAUUCUUGAAGAAUAUAAGCUCAAAUUGCUAUAUAUUUAAGGAUUUAGUAUGUUUUUGAAAUAUUUGGCCAUAUUUAAAGUGAAAAUUAAAAAAAUUUAGAGAGACAAAAAAACUAUUCGAGUCAUUGUCUUCAGACUAUUACAUGCGGGACUCAUGCACUAGAUUUUGUGGCAACGGGCUAAACCUUACGACUAAGUUUUUCUAGUGAUUACUCCUAGAAUUAGUUAUGUGUUAAAAUCCCCUAAAGUUCUAGUUAUGUAGUAUGUUUAAAAAAAUGAGUCAUAAGUUUAGUACUUCCUCCAUUUUAUGAACUAUUUGUUGCAAUGCCUCUCUACAUCAUAUUUGGCUCUUGAUGUUUCACCACAUUGUUUUAGUUUUGCAACAUAUAUUAUUAUAAAUUAGACCCAAUAUCAUUGUUGUCGAUUCUUACUCUUCUCAUAAUUGUUCUACCUAUUCACGCAUGGAUUCAGACAUGAAUAUCUCUACCCGGGAGUAUGUUGAGAAACGAUAGCUGUUUCAGACUCUCUGGGCUCCAAUAGUUGGUUACGGUUCUGAUGUAGGGAGAGAGCUUGAAUGCAUGUGGACCUAUUGUCUCCCCCUGACCGGUCAAUGGAGGGAUAUGGAUCGGGGCUAGAGGCAUUGGGGCCUUUCUUGGCCAACGAUUUACAACGACAUGGCUUUAGUCGCUCUCUCACGAGUCAAUCCAAAUCAUUGAGGCAGUGAUGUCUAUCCUACUCCAAAUGGUAAAGUAUCCCACCUCUUAUUUUACUUAGCUUCCGCCUUUAUGGAAGGAGACACAUCUAGUGGGACCUAACGAUGUUGACACAAAUUAUCAUGGUUUUCCCCAUGUGUAGUCGGUAUGGUUCAUCCAUAUUAUAUUUGAAAUAUGUGAAAAAAUUCACCCACAAAAAGCCAGAGAAUGUGCAAUUCUUAAGACCAAUUAUAUAAAUGUUUGGCCAACACAAAGGUUUACACUAAUAGAAUCAAUGAAUUGAGACAUAACUUAAUACUCUAGGUGAAAGGCUAAAAAUCAGAUGUGAUGCAAAGCUUCUAUAAUAAUUUAUACAUAUCAUUUGUCGAAUACAACUAUACCACAAGAGGCAAAUCAGCAUCAUCUUUCUCUUAGUUAUUAAAUCUAUUUUGGGUUUCUAAGCUAAGAUUAAUGUGGCAUUAAAUAUUCAAGAUGGAAGCCUUGGUCCCUAUAUAAUUAACAGUGAGCAACAAUGUGAUGCAGAAGGCAUGUAAUACAAGGUUGUAAUGCAAAAAUAGAGUUACACAAGGAGCUGCAGAGGCCAUUGGACAAUGGUGUAGCAUAAAUACAAAUAAUCACAAACCUUACUUUAUAGUUUAUAGAGCUUACACAAUAUAUAGGAUCAGUAGCAAAUAUGUAGAGAUGACAAAAUGAACUACAAUAUUGAGCACACACUUUUGAACAAUUCACAGGGUCUUGAUCAAUUAUAUAAUAAUAGAUUCCUACUUAUUUAUUUCAAUAGUUUUUACUUUAUUACAAUAACUUGGACCUUUAAUUUACAAUCUCAACUGAUUUUUUCCAUCAUAAUUAGCAUAAGUAACUACAUAAUGCAACAUCAAUAUUAUGGUAAAUGCUUAGCCUUACAUAAUUUUCUAUUGAUAGAAAUAAAUAUUUGAUAAAAAAUAUUGCAGGGGAAUUGUGCGUUCUCCUUAUUAUUUAGUUUGGGAUAUUUCCCCUUUCAAAACAUGCACUUAAUAUCUUAAACCUAAUUCCUUCUAGGGAUAAGCACAACUAAAAAGACAACAUCAUAAUUCUUCGCAAAUUAAUUUUGCCAUAUCGAUGUAUCAUUUUGUAUUUAUAUGUGUUCAUUUUCUUGUAUAUCCAUCAAUAUAGAGGAACACUAGAGCGCAUUUAGAAAUAUCAAUCUAAAUAGAGAUUGAAUGCUUGUUUAUCUCAAGUAUAGAUAAAGUCUAAAGCUCCGGAGUAGAUUAAAUUUCCAUAGGUUGGUUGCAUUUGGAUAAUAUAAAUUGUUAAUUUAUUGGGUUCUUUUAUAAAUAAAUGACCACCAUUCUUCCGGGGAUAUACAACUAGCUUACAACACAUCCAUGCUCCAAGAUUGGACUUUGAACACGAUAAUUAAAAACGGCGCCCAGGCUUAUCUCCGCCCGAUGAACAAUAAAGUGUAAAAAAUAGUAAAAAAAUCAAAACAUAUGAAUUUUUUAGGCAUCCAAGAUGUUCAUGUGUUCUAGGAGCAUACAAAAUUUUGUGGUGUUUGAACAUUUGAGGGCCCUGUACGAAAAAAACAAAAAUUGGCGACGAACAAUGUUCUUUUAGAAGUUUCUCAAACACCUGAAAUAGAUCCUCAGAUGACCAAACACCACAACAAUUUGCAUGCACCUUGCGCAUAUGAGCAUCUGAGAUGCCUAAAAAUUCCAUGUUUUUUUUUACCUUUUUACUAUUUUUCAAAAUUUCUUGUUCACGCGCAGGUGUAGAUGCACGUCAGUGCAGAAUUGUCGAUCUCUUUUGAACUACACUUUUUUUAUAACAUAACAUGUGAAUGUUGAACACAAUGUAUGAUCAUAGUAUGCGAUUUUUGGAUUUUCUUGAUUUCAUCAAUAAUAUGUAUAAAAUUCCCGGCUCAACUUUAAAAUAGUAGUGACUAACAUCACCUUUACCCAUUGUGAGUGGUAUCGCUAGAUAAUCUUUGUGCAUAGUGAACGCGAUUGUUAGUCCUCGAAGCGCAAGAAAACCAAGGUAUCAAUCCACAUAGUCUUGGUUUGUAGCCAAUGAUUAGUACCUACAGACAAUUAAAACACUUCACUUUAUCCCCACCACUUCUAGUAAUUUGUGUCAACCUCACUAGCUUUGCUAAUUACGAGUAUUAAUGUAUUUUGCGGUUGUAAGUACUUAUUGUAAUCAAGUGUAAAUAAACAUACAGAAUAUAAAAUAACAAAAAAAGUUAGUUAUCAAGGUCUUUAUUAUGAGUAUUAAAUAUCAGGAUCCAUAAUUUCACUAGUGGGAUCUCUCCAGAUAAUAUAGAUGUGGUGAAAAAAUUAUAGUUGUUUAUCAAUUAUAUUGCAGUGUUCAUGAUAUGAUCAUAUAUGUCAUGAUUGCAUAAAUAUUACGUCCAUGUAUCCAUAGACAGUUAUCUAACUACAUCUAUUGCUAAUACGUCAUCCUAGACUGCUAUCUGACAUGCAUCUCUAGGCAUUAAGUAGAAAUGACAUAUUGCAUUCAGCAAAGUGACAUAAUUUCAUUAUUAUAUUCUCUUUACCUUCAGUUCAUCACUGAGAAAACUAGUGAACUAUAUUAAUAUCUUUGUGGCAAUAGCACAAUACAAGUAUUUUUUUCCCUUUCUGUCACUGGAUAGAUUACUUGCAAGAUUAAACCCAACUAGCAUACACAACUUUUCCUUGGAUAUCAUUCAUCCAAACAUGGCCUAUGAAAGACUUUGAUCUGAGAACUUAUAUGUCUAUAAAUCAUGCAACAAAGAACUCAAAACAAUCCAAAAGAAAUCCAUACAUAGUAUGAUCAUAGAGUGACAAGCCCACGAGAUCUUUAUAUUUAGAAGCAAGGGAGAGAGGAUGCCAUCUAGUCACUAUUAUUGGCCCAUAAUCCAAGGACUACACACACAUGGACAUGGUGGCGGAAAUAAGGAUGAAGAUAGCCAAGACGAUGAAUUCUCCCUCCAACAGUGUCCCAGAAAAGGUCUCCAAAUUGGAUUUGUCACAUCCCAAGUUUUUCCCAAACUUGGAAUGUUAAUAAAUAAAUUUGAGGGAAUUAAAAAAAUCAAAAUUGAUUGCGAUUGCUUGAUAUUAGCUACUUUUGACUAGGAGGUGCUUGAAUUGAUUGAAAAUGUGGCUCAAAUAGAAAUUUGGAGUUAUUAAGAACCCUAAAUUGUCAUUUAGGGAAUAUUUAUAAGACAAAAAAUGUUGAAAUGUUGGGUUGGAAAAUAAAUUCCAUUAAUCCCUAAUAAUGUUGAAAUGCUAAAGUUAAAAGUGGGAAUUAAAUUGAACCCUAAAAUAUUUAGGUAACAACUUAAUAUCCCCACAUAGGGUGGCAAUUCCAAUGUUUUAAUUUGGCUGGAAAAAAUUAAGUCCCAAAUAACUUUUUGUGCCUCUAUUAUUUUCUGCCAAAAUAAUUUAAGUGAAUUUGAUUUUUGAAUGAAUUCAAAACAUCACUAAGAAGUUAUUUCAAGAAGGGCUACACAUUUUAUUUGGGUAGAAAUUGAUUUCCAUAAGUCCUAAAUAUUGGUUUGACUCUCUAUUAGUUUUCCAAAUUGGAUUUAGAGCUAGUUUGGGUUUAAACCAAAUUCAAAAUUCAAAGGGAAAUUUGAAAACAGCAAAAAGGGAAGAGAAUGAAAUAAAAAUAAAAAAUUCUAGCCUACCUAACAUAAUAGCAGACCGGCAACAAGCCCAACCUAGCAAGCCAGCUCAGCCCAGAAGCGCGCGCUGCCCAGCAACUUAAGUCGUUGAAGUGGUAAGCAUCAUUUUAACAUCACCGCGCGAUCUUCAUCCGACGAACAUUAGUGGAACCGCAGCUCUCUCUCUCUCUCUCUCUCACUCACUCACUCACUCUCACACACACACAGCCACGUGGGCCCCACACAUCAUAACGCAGGUGUCGUCAACCUCCCGCCUGCACGACAUGCGCCCACAACCCGUGCAUGUCCAUGUCCAUGAGCUCCACUUCUUGCACCUCCACUACGCGCCCAAGCCUGAACAUGCCCAAGAACUAGCCCCUACUUCCCUGUGUCUUUUGCCCCACUUCACCCCGGAUAUUGCAGUGAGGCUACUCCACUACGACCCCAUCCCCUCUGUCUCUGCCAGAGCCACCACCUACCAAAUUCUGGUGAGUCCAAGCCACCCAGGCCACGCCGUCGCCACCAUCAAUGUGGAGUAGGAUAGCACCAACUAUCUAAACCACAUGGAAAUCUCCAUGGAGCACCCAAGUGAUUGCAUCACUCUAAAUCUACUCUUACUUUACUUCUGUGAAAUCUUUACUUUCCACUACCUAUACUCCUCUCUAACUCUACUCUUUACUUUCCCCUACCUAUACUCCCGUAGACUUGUAUGUGUAGGGUGCUCCAUAUUCUACCAUAGAAAAGCUUAAAAUUGCCAGGAGAUUCCCCCUUUAGACAUACACAAUUGAUCCUAAAACACCCAAAUCUCCACGCCCGCAAGAACUCGCCGAGUCCCUCCCUCGACAUUGUAGUUCUCUGUUCUCCACAAGGAAAUAGUAAGGUGGGAAGUAGGGCUCUUACACACAUUAGGAGCCUGAACCUGAAUAUAUCGUGUGCCCUAGCGUUCUGUGCCUAAGUCCCCUAGUUUCCUAGUUUCCUCACGUGACGUUUCAUCGAGUACAAAUUUCACGUACUCCCCUCUACCGCUGUUAGGAUCGACGUAAAAUCUUUCAACAAUACAUAUAUGCAUUCUUACAAGGUAAAAUGAAGUGUAACAGGUGCAUUUCGCGGGCGAGCCUUCCCGGUCCCACACCCGAACCGUCAACCACUGACUCACCUUCUCCUGAGACGUUGCGGCAAGGCAUGCCAUCUCCGUCUACGGCUCGUUCCCGGCCAAGGCCUUGCCCGCGCCCCCGGGCUUCGCUCCACUCGCCCCGGCUCCGUCGUCUUUUGCCUUGGUGCUACACCUCGUCUCCUCCUUCCUUCUUCCACGAAUCGACCGACUCGAAUUCGAAAUUCAAGCAACUCACGCAUAGCUAUUAUGUAAACCUUUUAGCAUCAUUUUCUUUAUUGCGUUUGACAUUAACAGGGCGGUAAUCCUGUAUGUCAGAAAAUAAAUGCAGCUAUUUUAUCUCUUCUUGUACCAAAGUACGUAUAUGCAUUCUUACAACCCUUCUUACAAUGGAAAAUGAAUUGAGAGAUACAUAUCGGACUAGUCAACGCAUUGUUAGCUUAGUUAGCUUCCUUUUUGGCCGCGUCCGCGACCUUGUCCGUGAUGCCCUGUGCGGCGUCCUUGGCGCCGUCCCACGCCUCCUCCGUCGCCUUCUUCGCCUGCUCGCCGAAGUCCUUGGCCUUCUCGUCCACCUCGCUCGCGCCUUUGCCGGCUUCCUCCGCGGCCUUCUCGGUGUUGCCCGAGACGGCCUCAGCCGCCUCCGCCACGCCCUUCUUCAACUCGUCGGCCACCCCCUUCACGCCGUCGAUGGCCUUGUCGGUAGCAUCCGCAGCGUCGUUGUACGCCUGUCCCAUGCACCCAUAUAUCUCGGUCAGCAUAUCUCAGAGGACGACUAACCAGCAGCGUACGUAAAAAUAAUCGGCAUGAGGCCAUGAUCGAACGGUACUGCUCGCGGCACACGUACCGGAGUCGCCCUUGGAGCGUUCUGCAGGCAGAGGCGGCCGCCGCUCACGGUGCGCGGGCGAGCGGCGAGGAAGCAAGGCCGGGGAAGGGCCUUGCCUGCCGGGGUGCCGGUGAGCGCGGCCGUGGCCGAGGCUCCGAGAAGCACGGAAGAAGAAGCCAUUGGUCGAUAGAAAAACUGCUGAUGGAUGGGUGGGUAGGGUAGGGUAGGUUGUGUGAGCUUCACUUGCAAUGCAAUGGGAGGACGAGAGGUGCAUCGUCGUUUUUAUAGGCCGGACGCGGAGGGGCGAAGGGUGAGCUGGGGGGUGACACGUCGGGGGCCGAUCGCUCCGGCGCAUGGCGACAAUCGACGGUCGACAAGGUUCUGUGGUGGAGCAGUGCGCGGAGAGUUGUCGACAAGGUUUAUGUGGUAAUGUACGGUCGAAUUUCCUAUACCAAUAAAAGAAAAGAAAUGGGUAGCUGCUUACCCCACCAGCGUCUCGUACGAAGGCACGUAUACCUACAUGACCUGUUUGGAGCGGAUCGAAGAAACAAAUCCUACUGUCCACGUUUGAAGGUUACGUACAACCAAGGUUUUGUCAGGAGCUCUUUUAAGAUGCUUCAACUUAUGAUAGCAGAAGAUAUUUGAUACCGUCCGUCGAUUAAUCAAGGGUAAGUUUAGCCAUAUUUAUAUCCCAUCUGUAGAAAGUAUUAAUUGGAAAGUGAUUGAAUGAACAAUAAUGACAUCACCGAUACAUGGUCGGGAGCAUGGUUAAUAGCUAUAUAAUGUUGCCAUGUCAUUUAUAUUUAAGUUUAUAGUCAGCAAAUAUAAUAAUUAGAUAUAGAUAUGUACUCCCUUCAUCUGAAAAUAUUUGUCGGAAAAUGAAUGUAUUUAGACGUAUUUUAGUUCUACAUACAUCCAUUUUUAUCCGUUUCUCCGACAAGUAUUCCUAGAAGGAGGGAGUAUUACUUUGUUGAUACAUGAGUCACCUCACUCUCUCACAAAGCCACUAGGGCACAUGCUGCAACUGGUUAUUAAUCUAUAGCCUGCUUCUAUUCUCUUUUAUCUUCUCUCUCUUUCAACUCAUUAAAAAUAUUAUAUUGAAAGUCUUACAUCUCGCUUACAUCACUUAUUAUAUUUGCUCUCAAGGAGAGCCUUCAAAAGAUGUCAGCUGCUAUGAUGGAUGAGAAGGGGCCUCCCCCAAUGCAUCGUUUUUUAGCAUGUUAUAUCAUAGAAAAUAUAAAAGUUUAAGAGACAACUAGCCGGUCAAUUUAGGGGUUGUAUUUGGGUCUCAUGCAUAUGAUACUAGUGUAUGAUACUACCUCCCUAAUGCAUAGUAUCAUAUAUUAGUAUCACGUGGUACUUUAUUUAUUACCAUGCAUGACACAUAGUAGUAUAGGAUUUAUUAUGAUACAGUAUCUUUAUAUGAUACUGAACCCUCUUUUUUUUGUUUAAUUCUAUGACACCUCAUCAAAAUUAUCUAGUUGGCAUGCAUGAUACCAGCUAUGAUAUUACAUGUGAUUGAGUUAGUAAAUUUAUUUGCCCAUGGCUACAUGCAAGGGUUGUAUGUUAGCUACUAGGGCCAUCCCUCUAAGCUACUACAUCCCUAUCUUUUCAUUAAAUACUAAGGCACAUCAGCAAAAUACCUAUAAAACAUUCCUAAGAAAUCUGCAUUGGGAGAGUUAUGUUCUAAACCGACGUCACUAUUAGGAUUCGACAUGGCCAACCAUCACAACCCUUCACUAAUGACGGUUCCAUGUUCCAAAUGAAUAUUUGUUUAAUUAUAGCAUGCUAAUGCAUCAACAGUCACAAACUAAUUUAUUCCUAAUAGAGUGAACCCUCACUUUAUCUGAUAAGAUGAACACUAUGGAAGAGGUUGCUCCCGAGCUCUCCAAUCAAAAAGGGAAGAAUAAGGAUGAACCCUCACCUCCUUGCCUCUGGCUUGUUAAUCCAACGAGAGAUAUAUAAGUUGCAUAUUUUUUUCUACCAUGCACGCCUCUAAGCUUUCUACCCCAUCAAUCUCACAAUCAACAUGGGCUAAACCACCUGCCUACACUACUCGUGUUUGGUUAGCACUGCCACGCACAACCCCACCCCACCCGAGUUGUCGCAUAUUUCAUGUUGUUGAUGUCCCCAACCAUCCCUCUAAAAUCUACAAACCCUCUCACCAUCUUCGGUGCAACUCCCUUUCCACCUCCGAGUGCGCGCCGCACCCCUCACAUGUAUUGUCAACCUAUUGCCCCGCCUUCGCCAAGGAUGUCGGGUUGUCCCCGUAUUCGAGACUAUCUUGGAUCAGCCUUGCCAGGGACGCUGCAGCCAGCCAUGUCGUCCAUGUAUCGACCUUGAUGCAGCACCUCUCUUUCUUCUUCCUUCUUCGACGAAAUCAGCUGGUGCAAAUUGGGAAUUCAUACAUCUCACGCAAACAACAAAAAUAAAUGGAAAAGUGUGAAAAUGUAAUUGCACCAAAAAUAUGCAUUUGUAAUGAAUAUAAAACAACAUAAAAACAAGUGAUACGAGAAAGUGACUGAAACUUUCCAUAAAGGGACUGAAACACCAUAAAUGGAAAAAGGGUGAAAUUGUAAUUACACCCACGUCGAUCGCGAUAGCUCCCGAAGCAGAGGAAAAUACGGAUGCACUUAAGAGAAUUGGUGGCGGCUGACUUUGCUCGCCUGGCUGCAAGCCAGACUAUGUGUUCCCUCCCUCUUUGAAGGCAAAAAGAUGGGGGAUCCCUGGAUUUGUUGUUUCUAGUGUGUAUGAAGUAAUUUAGGGAUUUAAUUGGCAGUCCUAUGGUGGCAAAGACCACGCCAUGGAGAUUAUGUGUUGUAGAUCCCUCCCUACCAUACGACGCUCCUCUAGACAACGUGAGUGAGAUGGCAACCUCGUGUCCUUGAUGAUUCGUUGCAUCGUUGAGUUUAGAGUUGGUCGUCGGUAUCGUUGCAUUGAGGAGGUGGUGACAAUAGGCUUCCCUUUUGGUUCUUCGUGUCCACCUCCUACCCGGUCAGUUGUCGACCAUUUUAGUGAUUUUGUGGGGGCUUGUGUCUCCUAAUUUUUAUAUUAGGAUCUAUGGAGUUUUGCGGCGGCUGUUAUCAUCUGAUAUAGCGGUGUCUUAUUCACUGAGUCAUUCGUUCUUCUAGAUCGAUGUUGACAUUGUUUCAUGUCAUAGUUCACUUCCCAAUUGCAUGUGUGGAUAGGAAUCGUUCUGACGAUGGUGCAUACCUCAAACCAUGACAACAAUCAGCAUGUCAUCGGUGCCAGUCGGAGAAGAAGGAGGAAUCCCCAAGGAUCGAGAUGCAAUUUACAUUUCUAUUUGUUUUUCCACGAGAUGUUGGAUCUAAUGUUUUAGCAUUUCCGUAAUGAAAAAUUGAAUAUGUGGUAAUACACAAUAAGAUUCUAGCUUCAUAAGAAUAAGAUUCCAUGUCUCUCAAGAAUAUGAGUGUAAGAUUCCUUGAUACAAAAAUUAACUUUGGAGAUGUUGUCACAUUCAGUCUUUGGAUGCAUUUUCACAUUAUGUCUGCAGUCCAGCAAUGUUAAUAUGUAAUACUGGAGAUGGUUGCAGUCGGUAAUUUUACUACUCAGAAAACAUAUGAAUCGGUUUUGCUCCUCAAACCGCCUAGAAUACUUAAGAAUUUGAGCAUUGCUAUUUUCAAGUACGAACAAUUGUUGCUUUGCUUGCAACUUAAGACUGAUUUUAGGUAAAUAUUACCUAUUACAACUCACAUAUCAAAAUAGGCACAUUUAACUUCCAUUUCUAUUAUUACUUUGAUAUUCAGGAAGCCCUUCAAGACUGAAGUAGACGAGAAGCCCUUUGGAGCUGAAGUAAACAAGUAGAAUGCGAGCAACUUUACAUGCUUAGUUUAUGUGAAAUUUAUGAUACUUGGUGUAUUGGUGAUCUCACAGUGUAAAUCAAUAGGAUUUAGCAAUCCUAUUCUUAUGGUCGCAUAGGGUACGCUAACCUAGGACCAGACCAAUUUAGGUGUUUGUCCAAUUACUGGUUACUAAUGUGGGGCUUUCCCUCUGUUUUCUAUUUUUCGGGAGCCGAGCUGAAAAGAUGAAGUUACCCUAAAGAAAAUUUAGCUUUUCCUUUCCUUGCAAUGGGCCUGGCUCAGGAGGAACAUGUCAAAUAAGCUGGCAAACAAACCGUGAUAACCUUGAGAGAACCCACUUUUAUUUUCUAAAUAAAAUUGUACCCAUGGUAAGGAGAAAAUAAUCAAUAGCGAGGAACUCCACGUUUACCAUCACUAGCUAAUUGAUCAUGUGUUGCAAUGAGGACAUACAUAUUCUAGUGGUUCAACACCAAUUGUGUCCGACAUAUACGUCACACCCACCAUAUUCCAGAUUUUUGUAAGAUUUGAUUUUAUUUGAGUAUGAGUACAGGAAGCCAAUGAAAUUUUGAUUUAGUGGAGGUUUCGGGAAGAUUUUUAUUUGAUCUGCAUAUGGGUAGAGUAAGUCAAGGAAACUUUUGAUUUAGUUGAAAUUUUGAUAAAAAAAUAUAUUUAUUUGAUUCAAUUAAUGCAGGACAUGGUUUUUGCUAAGAUUUCACAGAGGUAAUGAAGAACAUGGUUUCCAAUACGACAUGAAAAAAACACCAAAUUAGCUUAGAUAAAAGGAACAUAUUACAAUUCAGCUAUUGGCAGCAUAGCCCCUGUGCGCCAAUAAUGUUUUUUUUGCAAAUGCCAAAAAAAUAGAUAGGUUCAUUGUCACACUCAAUAACGACCUGCAAAUUUUUAGGGGCCAUGCUAAGCAUUUUGACCUGUGCAAAAAAAAAAAACAAGUCAAGCGUCAAAUGUUACACUUAAUUUUAUUUUAUUCACUGACAAACCACUGCUUCACACGAAUAUUAUCAAGCACACUUGUUACACUAACAAAAUCGUCUACACACAAAAAAAAACAGAUUUUUUUUAUUUUCUCUUUGGUUUAAAUGUAUUGUUCAUCCAAGAGCAUAUACCCCAGAGCCAAAACGGCCAGCCUAGAGCAUAAACUCUCCUUUAGAAAUAGAGAAGAAAAUAAUAGUGAAACCUGAUGUACAUCAUGCACACGGGUGAAGUUUGUUUUAAACCUUGAGUUUGUAGAGCACGACUUAAACAAACCCUCACAUCUAAAUCCCUGAAAUCUAUACCCCAUACUCAUCAAUCCCAAUCAAUUUAGACCCUAGACGUGUUUGGUGCGCCGGAAAGAAGAUGAUCCUGGCCAGGAUCAAUCGCUAGUCUCACUGCCUACUUUGGCCCAGCUGUUCCAGCCAUCGUCUAUCUCAAUUCUCUUCCUCUCGUUGCAGCCUUGGCCAGCUUGGUGAGCAGCGCUCCACCCAAUGCAGAUGAUGCAUGCAAGUAGCAGCACAAUCAUCCACACGCACGCACGCAAGUAGCAGCGACACAUACGCUACCGCAGCAGCAGCACGAGCGCGCCGGACACCGAGAAGACGACGACGAGUACUGCAAGGAAUAAAAAGAGAUGGAAUUUUGUGAACUGGGUCUCACCGGAGAGGGUAAAUCGACGCGGCAGAACUCUCACCAGAGAUGAAGAAGAAUGCUCCACCAUGGAUAAAACGUCGAUUCCACUAAUUUUGGUCAAACGCCAAGCAAAUUGCUCGUGUCAGUACUCAGUAGCCUCCCCUCGUCUCCUGUGACCGCGUGGGCGCCAAUUGCAGGUUUAAUUGGCCGCCGGUGAAAUCACUUCGAGUCCCUCCACUGAUGUCGCUCUGCUCCGCCGUCGCGGUCUUUCCAAUCCCCUCCCCUUGUCCAUGUCGAGAACUUCUGUUGAACCGCUCGUUCGAAGACCAGUGGCAAGAUCCCUCGAGAGCUCUCGGCCUGCGCUCUGGUGAAGAGGGGAACUAAUCCGAUGGCAACGGCAGGGCGGGUGGAGGUCGUGCUCCUAUCGCUCUCGGCGGUGGCGGCCAAGGCGGAGCCCCGUCGUGCGGCAGAGGUGAUGCAGCUGGACCGCCCUGGGGGCGGCCGGCGGCGGACCACAAUGGCAAUGGGAUCUGUGGCUGGACGCAGAGGUCCGGGACAAGCAACGCUGGCAGGAGACAAAAACCCCACCCAACGCGAGGACAGCUGCACAUGAGAUGGAUUCCAGAAGAGAAAGACAGAGAGGAAGAAAAGAGGUCGAGGAAGAAGAAGGACGCGACAUGUAGGCCCGUGCGGUCAAUGACAGAAACGAGUGAUCCCAGGGAAAAUUUUCUUCCAAACAGAUCUAGAGUUGGGUUAGGGUUACAAUUGACCGGGAUCGAUAAAAUAGAGUAUAGACUUCAAGGAUUUAGACAUUGGGGUUUGUUUGCGUCGCGCUCUACAAUCUGAGAGCAUCUUCAAUAGCCGCUCAAUGUGUGGCGCCCAAAAAACGGGUUUACAGCGCGCGCGACCGGGCACACUAAAUAUGCUGCACGCGAUGCCUUUUUGAUGAGCGCGCUGCAUUAGUUAUAGCACACGCGUUUUUUGUGCGGUCGCUGGAGACUCCAAACCAAGUCCGCGCGCGUUAAAAGCAGUUUUUAUACCGCGCGUCGCUUAUAUAGCGCUUCUGUUGGAGAUGCUUUCAAGGUUCAAAACAGACUUCAUUUCAUGCACACCAAAAAGGUAGAAGAAGUGACUUCCAGUCUGUUGCCUUUUUUUGCGCGUGAAAAGAAAAAGUAACGAACUGGAAUUCACUUCUCAUACUUUUUUUUUGCAGAGUGUACACCAUGUUUUAUUAUUAUUUUCUUUUGUAUAAUUAUGCUAUCCGCAGAAAGAAGGUACGAGAAAUGAAUUCCAGUUCGUUACUUCUUUUCAGUUCUCGUGCCUUUUCUUCUCUCUGAGCGUCCAUAGUUUGUUUUUGUUUGUCUCUCUCAUUUUAUUUUAUUUUCUUUCUUCACCUUUUUGUGUGGUUACCAUCGGGUUUUGAUUUUCUUCUGGUUUAGCAUUUGAUUUGUAUUUUUUGUGAGGGAUUUCAAUUUUUCUCUCACUUUUCUUUCCAUUUACUCACGGAAUAAGUUGCUCAAACUGCUUUGCACUAAAAAGAAUAACGUUUGUGAUCAUUUCCUUAAUACAAUAUUUUUCAGUUUGUGAAUGUUUCUAAAAUUAUUUAACAUUUUCAGAUCAUGGUUUCUUUUUAUAAAUUGUGAGCAAUUUUUGGAAUUUCUAAACAUUCCUUUCAAACCAUAUAUUUUUAAAUUAUGAAGAAAAAAACUAAUGAAAACAAGUUAAAAAUCAUGGAGCAUACUUUUUUUUGUGAGUAUAAACAUCAAAAAAAUUCUGAACAUUAGUUUUCAAUGUAUAAAUAUUUGUAGAAAUGUGCGUGUAACUUCAAAAAUGGGAAGACGGAAACCAAGAAAGCGGAAAAUAAAAAACUCCACUGGAAUCCUAUGUAUACUUAAAUAAUGGACCCUCACUAGUCACUACCUCUAAUUAUGUCAACAUGCAGCCUUCCACCCCAUCAUAAAUAUCUACUAAGAGCAACUUUAGCAGACCCCGCAUCCGGCGCAAAUCCGCAUAAUUUUGGUGAUUAUACGGGCUCGGCUCAUUUUUUUGGCCAGACCAGAGCCCGCAUCGGUGUCCGGCACGUAAAUUUUUUUGCCGCAGCCCGCAAACGCAACCCCCGAGCCACUAUAACUACGGGUUUGCAGGGCAGUGCGGGUCGAAACCCUAUCCUCCCGCCGUCGUGUUCCCCUCCAAUUCCCCACCGCGCCGCUCGAUUUCUCGCCGCCGGCAAGCCUUGAACCACCACGGCCGACUCGGGGGAUGAGGCGGAGUGUCUCCGCCGUGCCAGAUCUGACGCCGCACGCAAGCGGGGGCGCGUCGGUGGCUCAACCAGGGUGCCCAGCCGCCGCCGGCAUUCAACCGGCGCGAGCUCGACGAGUUCGAGCUCGAGCGCGCCCGUCGCCGCCGCGCCUCCUCCGGCAACUGGUUCGUGGGGAGCUCAUCCGGCCACGGGUCCGCGGGGUGCUCAUCCGCGGGCGCAUCGAGCUCGCGGCUCGUUCUGGUGAAGAGGGAGCCGGAGGAGGCCGUGCCCAAUGCGCCGCCGCGCCGAGGCGUCAUCGUACCCGAGGACUACCUCCCACCGGGGCAGGAGGAGCUCCUCGAGCGCGUCGUCCUCAAGCGGUCAACGAGGGAUCAGGAGGAGAUGGAAGAGCGCAUCUGGCGCGAGUUCGAGUACGAGUGGCUCUUCCUCGAGACGGGCCUCACGGCAUCGCAGGCGCACGCAUCGAAGGAGGCCGACCUGCGCGUGAUGAAGGAGGAGCAGGCGAAGCUCUUUGUCGACCUCGACUCUGACUCCUCCGACUCCGACUGAUCGCUGCCGGUGGGCAGCUACCCUAGGAGGAGCUCUGGUGAGCUCAAUUUUGUUGCAGUGGUGCGGUAGCGUAGGCCUUGUCUAGCAUAUCUAACCUUUAUGUAUGUAUGUAGCGUGUAUGAACUUAUUAUGCGAAGAAGAACCAUCUAUGCGAGCGAGCUCCGGCGAGUUGUUGCUUCAACCCAUGCAAACUAGCAAACUACAUGGAAGAAUAUCCCGUGAUAGCACACCUUAAACGCCUCCAUGAUACGAUUUCAAAAAAAUAAGUUUAAGUGUUACAAAAAAUCCGAAAUUUUAUAAGGAAUGUAUCUGCAACCCCUAAAAAUUUCAGCUUUUAAGUUUGAAAUGCACAAUGAGAAAUUAGAAAAAUAAAUCCAGAUGUGAAGUAUCAGUUUUGUAUGUCUUUUUUGGCACUAUCCACACUAGAUAUGUUAUUUUUAUUUCUCAAUGUGUAUUUCGAAUUCGGAUAUGAUUUUUUAGGGGUUGUAGUCAUGUACGUUGCGAACACUCAAAAAAAUAUUUAGAUCUUUUUGAAACAUAUAAAAUUAAUUUUUCAAAGUUGGUAUUAUAAGAACAUUUAAGGUGUGGUUAUCACCUGAUAGUUUGUGGUUUGUUCUCACACAAAUAUAAAUAUGAAACUUGUCUACCUUAAAAAAUAGUAGUUUUUAUUUUGAUUAUUUUUUCAUACAUAAUUUAUCUGAGAUUAAUCCUUAAAUUCUUGCCGCAACGGGGAAAUCAUCUUAAUCAUCUAGAUUUUUUUGAGACAAGGGAAAUCAUCUAGAUAGAAAUGAACACUUUUUUUUAGACAAGGGAAAUCAUCUGAUAGAAAAGAACACGGUAAGAACGCUCGCUAAGCAACAGCACCAUACGAACUGGGCUGCCGGCCCACUGACAUUUUGAAGAAACGUAAUAUGUCUGUCCAAGACGCGUGCCCUCUUUGUGGGUGUCAGGACUCAUGGCGACAUGCCCUUAUUUCAUGCACCAUGUCAAGGUGUAUUUGGGCUCUGUCGGACGAUGACUUGGUCGCGCAGAUGACAUGUAAUAUGGAGCCCAAUGCCAGGUUGUGGCCGUUCGAGUUGAGCGACUCAAUGGAACACACAAGCUUCACGAGGAUGGCUGUCACGCUAUGGUCCAUAUGGCAUGCUAGGCGAAAAACAAUCUAUAAAUCCGUCUUUCAGAGUCCACAACAGACUACAUCUUUUGUUGACAAUUUUCUCUCAGAUUUGGGGCAGUCGUUGGUGAAACAGGCAGUAGAGGCCCAACUGCUACGACUACAGCACAGCCUCAGCGCUGGCUUCCGCCUCCAGCUGGAAGUGUGAAAAUCAAUGUAGACAGACCAAUCGCUAGAAGGCGUAAUUGGGGAGCAGAGGCUGCGAUUUGUAGGGACCAAACAGGCUUAUACCUAGGGUCCUCGGCAAUGUUUAUUUAAGGAACCAAUGACCCUCAAAUCCUGAAGACAUAUGCGUGUCCGGAAGCACUCGCACUAGCAGAUGACCUAGCUGUGAGAGCUAUAUAUGUCGCGUCCAAUUGCCAAGGUGUGGUGGAUGACAUAAACAGGGGACUGGAGGACCAAAUACAGCGAUCAUACAUGAGACCAUUGUAAUAGUAUUAUUUCAUGUUCUUUUAUUCAUGAGCAUAGAAACUUUAAUUUUUUAAAAGCUCAUAAUCUCAUCAAGUUUGCUUAUAGCCUAUAGCCUAGAGAUAGACGUAGGUAGACAUAUGUAGUUGGAUAAUCCAAUGACCCAAACCUUAUACCUAUGACCUACACUUUAAAUGAAUAAAGCUGGCGAGAAUUCUUAAAAAAAAAUCUCGAUCAGAGCUGGCAUAUGCUAAACAUGAAUACCAAUUGAGGCAUAUGCCAAACAUGAAUAUCACCUGAAGCUACCGGCCAGUCCUGAGUGAAGAAGACAUCGCAAGCACGAUCUUCUUCUAUAAAAUCAUCACCCCGCAAUAAAACAACAAAACUUGAAGUCAUUUCACGUUCCCUUCUAACUUACCUACUGCUGGAAAUAUGACUAAAUUACUAUAAAAUUUAAUCUGAAUAAAUAGAAAAUAAAUCAUGACAACAAUUGCAGAGAUUAAGCUAAUCAUGCGAACUAACAUAAUAGAUGAGUAUAUCACAUCUAGACCAUAUAUUAAAAACAUGAAUUCUAUCACGAUUUUAAACAAGAAGGAUAGAAUCACAUACGGUGUAGCGGAAAUAGCACCGCCUGCGUUGAUGUUGUCUCCCAUGUCGUCGAGGAUGGGAUUACCAAGGUCGGAGAAAAAGUUGUCGUUCGCGAAGUCGUCGCUGCCAGCAAUCGCGCAGGUGCGCUCCCCCAAAACCUGAUCAUCCCUCUCCCGUACAGGAUUACAGGCGGGGUUCCGGAGGCUUACUGUCCCUUCUUCCGGUGCACGCCGAAAAAAAGGAUGAAGAAGGUUUGCUUGACGACGCAAUGAUCUGAAACGAUGGUGCAAAACCAUAUAAAACGGCGACGGCUAAAGCAGACGUCUAACUGACUAUAUAAUGCGGGUCAGGUUGUGAGAGUAGUAAACCCCACGUCCGAGCGUCGUGACGAGGCGUGGCAAGGCAAGCGAUGAGAACGUCUCAUCUUCGUACAAGUUGUAGAAGAGUUCUCCUUAAGGUGCAAGUCUUUCUUAACUUCCGUAGCACUAAACUCUAGUCUUUCUUAACUUCCGUAGCACUAAACUCUAGUCUUACUCACUCCACGCAUGAAUAGACAAAUUAAUUGGGCUUUGAAACAAAGGCCUAUUAGCAAAAUUCCAACAACUACUAACACGGACAUGCAAACGAUGAUAUUCCUCUGUCAAUAAAAAAACUGAAGCCAUGAUUUUUCUGUCUGUCAAUAAAAAAACUGAAGAUUUUGUCGAUGAGAGAUAAAACUGAAGAUCUUUGCCGCUGAGAGAUAAAACUGAAGAUCAAUGGCAGUAUCGCAGAGUUCCAAAGACAGACGACUAGUGGUUCAACUAGUAUUGGACAUCCUCCAUCAGAGACGGUACACAUUCUCCAUCGGAAAAAAAAAAGAGACAGCACAUAUUGCAGAGCUCAAAAGAAAUUUCUUGUUUUUUCUACACGAUUGCUCCAAUAUUUUCAUCUCAGGGGAGGCAUCGGCGCAUCUGUUUGCCAAAGCAUUAUUCAACAUGUAAACCGAAGAGGCUGAAAACUAAAAUUCAACUCGAAACAGAGGCCACUAGACGCGUGGAGAUGUCCAGCCGGACAGCCAUCUUCGUCUAC
rnacentral:lncRNA from 1 species